CAUACAAAUGUUGAUUGGAAUAUUGGCAAAGUCUCUAUAGUAAGGAUUUGACUCUACAAACUAUACAAUCACAUACAAAAAGAAUUAUUAACAUUGAUCCAAUGUUGUGUUUCUACAUGAUUCAGGAUGAUCAACGAUAAAAGAGUUUGAUCAACUUGAAUAUUAACACCAUAUAUAUAUAUAUAUAUAUAUAUAUAUAUAUAUGGAUCAUUUGGAAUAUUUUUCUUUUUGCAGGAGGAUCAGAGAGGGACUAUGAUUUUGCAAAGUACCCAAUUUUACGCCCAGCUGUGUCUACAAUUCUCUUGGGGCCAACAAAAAAAAAUGUUCAACCAUGAUCUUGUUUUAUGGGCUUAUGUUCAUCUUGGUGAAUAUUAAUAAGAUCAAGGACAAGUACAACAUGUACUUUAAGGAAAGUAAUACAGUGCGGAAUUAAACCUGUAGAACAUGCAUUCAGUCACUCAUUACCACCAAACUUUGUGCAAUAAGAGUUACUGAAAGGGUGUUUUCAAUAAAGCACUAGAUCUUCACGUCUUCGGAUAAAUAGGGAAAAAAAUCUAGCUUCUACAAGACACUAUUUGUAAUUCCCUCAAACAUGUCAUCCUGUGAACUAAAAUAUCUCUAAUUAAAUAAACAGCAAACUAGGAACCCAUAGUUGUAAUGGUACAUAUAAGUAUAUCAAUUUGGGGUAUCACAAAAGUGUUCCUUUGGAAGAGAAAAAGUAUGCCACCAUCAUUUUCAAUAGCAGCCUCUAGGAACAAGUGCAUACCACUAAAACAAAAGUAUUGUCUCUUACUUUUUUGGAGAACUUGUCUGGGGAAGCUUUCAAUUAAGAAGAAACAAGAGUUUUACAAAACACACCUGACCUCAAACCUAACAAAAGUAGAGAUAAUAGUAUUGUUUUUUACUGAAAUAGAUCAUAGAAUUAGUAAUGCAAGCACAUAUGCUGAGUAUAGAACUUGAACACAAAUGAUAUUGUGACCCGGUGCUCUCUCCCUUCUACUUUUCAUCCAUGGUUGAGUAAAUCCCUUAUUUUCAACUCAAGAUAUAUUGUCUUCUCACCAGAUUUACAAAAACAAAUAAGUAAGAAUGUUAUGUGAUACAUGAGUAGUAUAAAGAGUUUCAAAGUCUCUUCAAAUAAAAAGCAUGCACCAAAUUUAUGGCAUAUCACUACACAUCUUUAAUGUACUAUUUUCUUCUACAUAUAGUAAGUAGAAUGUCACUAGACCAAGUAGCAUGUAAACAUUGUCGUUCUCCCAAUUAUGUCUUCUCUACCUCAUAUCACAUUUGUCAUAUUAUAUAACAUUAUGUCCACAAGAGUUUUUAUUUUUUCAUGAGGGAGUGCAAUAAAAUACUUAUAGUCAACAUAAAUCAAAUAUUCAAUGUCAAAUGUAACCCUUAUCACAACUACUUUUCGCACUUCUUACAGUCUUCCUUUGUCACAAUUAUCUUUCUCAUUUCUCACACUCUUCCGUACUUUGAGAUCUUAAAAUUCUCCAAACCAAUCCUUAUGCUUGUGAGCCGGUUUAUUUUCUCAUCUCAAAGUUUACUAAACUAUUUCUUGUAAUUUGCAUGCAACCACCACAAAACGUCUAACAAUGCCAUUAAUCCUUCACAUAAGAUCUUAUAGCUCACAUAAACUUUUAUUAUCUUAAUACAUCUUAAUAUAAGUCUGAUCUCCAAUGUUCCAUAUAACCAUCUGGAAGACCAUGAUACAAUGCUAAUAGAUAUAUAUUUUUUCCAUGAGUCACUUUUAUUAAUUUAUAUAAUACUUGAUCUGGUUAAAAUUAUUAAAGUCUUGAUUCUAAACUACUGAUAAUUAGGUCACAAUUAACAAAAUAUAAGUAACAUGUUGUAUUUUUCAUUUGGACCUAUCACCAUACCAUAUUAGUAUACAUACAUACACCAAAAGACAAAUUACAUAUAAAACUCACACUUGUUAAAAGUUCAUUGUUCUUUUUCUAUAUUCUAUAAAUCAUUAAUUAUAUCUUCAUAAGUAUAGCCUCCCAUGAUAUCAUUGUUGGAAUUUAAUUCCCCAAAAUUGUGACAGAAUCUUUGGAAUCUCAAUUUUUUUACUUGACCCGGAUUAAUUUAUUCCAAUCUGUAAAAAUAUUUUAUACUUGAAGGUGAGGGGUUAAAAUUAACAUAUGUCUUGUUUUACCUACCAAUGUAGAUUAAUGUUUCUUCCUAAAAAAAUAUUUGCUUAGCAAUCCUCGUAUCAGCUGCUCACCAGUAACAUGGAUUUUCUAGUAAAAACUUAUUUAGAGGUCUAGUACUUCAUUCGGUCUAAAAUAUAUGUCGAUCAAAACAUCAACAUAGCCUAUAAGGUAACAAUUUGACUAAUAGUUUUUAUAAUAUGUACACUUAUGAAUAAAAAUAAUUAUUAACAUUGAUUUUAUCUUGCCAAUCUACAUGGUUAAUCAGGUGUUGUGAUCAACGAUCAAAGAAUUUGAUCAACAUGCAUAUCAACAAUUAAAUACAUCUCAUAUUAUUGGACCAGGUGGAGUGUACUUUUGUUUUGGCAAGAUCAGAGGGAGUGUGACGUUGCAGGGCACUGCUGCACCACAAUUUUAUGGCAGUCUAUUAUUUGCUCGGGGUCAACUAAAAACAUGCACAAUGAUAUCGUUUUAUGAACAUGGCUUUGCUCAAUAUGAAAAAAAGGCCUAAGUCAAUGAGUUUGUAUAGGUAAAUGUUAAUAAGAUCAACAACAAUGGACAGUAUAACAUGCAUUUCAAGGACAAUGUUUUUUGAAUUAUGCAUGAUAUCUUCGCUUCUUUGGAUAAAUAAAGAGAAAAAAGGUUUUACAAGACACUAUUAAGGAUUAAGGAUUAGUUUAAAUGAAUAGCAAACACCUAGAACAUUCAUACUUGUAAUUGUAUAACAAGACAUCAUUUUGAAGUAUAACAAAAGUGUGAGGUUGGAUAAAAAAAGGGUAUGCUGACACCAUCAUCAAUAGUCGUCUCAGAGUAUACCACUAAGAUAUAUAUUUUUCACGAGGCACUUUCAAUUGGUUUGUGUAAUACGUCCUCACUACAAAUAAGUAACACCUCCAGUUUUAACUGUUUACAAAAAGAGAGGCAAUAUAUAUUUUUGAAAAAAAACUAUUUUGUCAAUUAAUUACUAGGAAUGGUGCUACUUCUGUCAUUAAUAUUAAUCUGAAUAGCAAAGUCAAAGUCAUCAAUUAUUCGUAAACAGUUUGGUGUGAUUGAGUAAAUAGAAAUCCCCAAUUUUCCCAAGUCACCCCACUGUUGAGAAUUUUAAUUUAUUUUUUCCGGCCAUAGAAAAACUGCUGAUGGCAUAUGCAUAUCAGAGCGUGAGCUUCAAAGAAAAGAACGUCGUCUUGGUCUGCUGGAGUGAGUGCAGGCCUUCUUCAUCAACAUACAUAAAAAGGGACAAAGCGAUCGAAUCAGGAACCGUCCGACUCUGGCUCGAAGGCCAUGCUUUCGGCCUCGUUCUUGAGGGACUCGUACAUGAACGACGACAGGUAUCGCUCGCCGAAGCUCGCGAAGAUCACCUGCAACCACCAACGAAGAACAAGUUAGAUUUAGAACGUGGUAGCAGACCACCAUCACGUCGCAUUGCGCGACAGAAUCGAGAAAGGUCUCCGAUGACGCGGGCAGCUUACGACGAUGAGCUUCCCCCUGUUCUCGGCCCUCCUGGCGACCCUGACGGCGGCGACGGCCGCCGCGCCCGACGAUAUCCCGACCUGAAUGAUGAUGAGAGGGAUCGUCUCGUCAGUCAGCAGAUGCAGAGUUUGGAACAGAGCCGGUCGAUCGAUGAGCUAGGUAGCUCACCAGUAGCCCUUCGUUCAGGGCGAUCUGCCUCGCCAUGCCCGCGGCUUCCUCGUUGGAGACCUGGAACACCUCGUCGAGGAGGCUGACAUCGAGCACGCCGGGAACGAAGCCGGCGCCGAGGCCCUGAAUCUUGUGCGGACCUGAGCUUGGAGAAACAACGCAGCGUCAACAAUACGUGCUCAAGGCAGGGCAAUGUAGGUGAGACAGAGCAGGGCUGAUCGCAGAAGAAGGUGCGGCAUCUCACCGGGUUUCCCUCCGGACAGCACCGCGCUCUCCGACGGCUCCACGCCAUAGAUCUUCAAGGCAGGGUUCUUCUCCUUGAGGUACCUCCCGGCUCCGGUGAUCGUGCCGCCGGUCCCUAUGCCGGCGACGAGAAUGUCGACCUUGCCCGCCGUGGCGCUCCAAAUCUCGGGCCCGGUGGUCUCGUAGUGGACCCUGGGGUUCGCGGGGUUGGCGAACUGCUGGAGCACGUGGGAUCCCGGCGUCCGCGCCGCGAUCUCCUCGGCCUUGCGCACCACGCCGUCCAUGGCCAGCAUCGGGUCGGUGAGCACCACCUCCGCGCCGAAGGCCCUGAGCACGGCCCGCCGCUCCGUGCUCACCGACGACGGCAUCGCCACGAUCAGCCUGUACCCCUUGGCCGCCGCCAUGAACGCCAGCCCGAUGCCGGUGUUCCCGCCCGUCGGCUCGAUCAGGACGCUCUGCUCAGAUACGAUACGCAUUGGCGCAUUGGUGUCAGCACGGAGCAUGGUUGCAACGAAGAAUUGCAAUGGGUCAGUGAUCUCCCUCGCUCACCUUUCCAGGGGUGAUCAGGCCCUUCUCCUCCGCGUCGGCGAUCAUGCUAUAACCAAUCCUGAGAAGCAUCACCAGAUGAACAGAUAGUAAAGUUGUUUCUGAGCAAUGUUGGCACUCGAUUCUUGAAUCUUGACCAUAUACCUGUCCUUGAUACUGGAGCAGGGCGCCAUGAUCUCAAGCUUGGCAGCUAAACGCGCCUCACACCCGGAUACCACCUUGUUCAGGUACACCAACGGGGUCUUACCGAUCAACUGUCACCAUUGCAGCAAAACAAAAUUGCAGUGCAUGCAGGUCAAUUCAGAUGGACAUAUUCGAGUUACCCUAAGAAAAGAAAAGGAUGCACGUGCUUGCAGAUUUGCUUACGCACUUCGGUUACAUCUUUUGCGAUCAUCAAACUCUGAUCUUUCGUGGUCUUUGAACCCUGAUCUUCGACGGUCUCAGAGCUCGGACUCCAUCCCCCCAUUGCUCACUCUGUGUUGCACUCUGCAGCAAGACAGGUCUUUGAUCGAUGAUGCAGAAUGCUACGCAACACGCAGCAUUUUAUAGCGUGGCUGCAACGACGCAUAUGGUACAUGUUGGUGGUGGAUGGUGCAAAGAUGCAGAGAUGCCUUUGUGCUUUGCCCUAGCCAUUUGUGUUCUCGUUGUUCUUGGUCGAUCUUUGAUUAAGGGCUUUGGUGAAGUUGUCCAAGGAUGAUGUCGAUCUCUACCGAUAGUUACAAAAGUUGUUGAUGCUUACAAGGUUGCCCGUACGUAUACCUGACAAAGUACUAGUACCUUUUGUGGCAUAACCGUGAAUCCGUGAUGAUGAAAACCUUGAAAACCGACUGUUGCUAGUUGCAGAGAAAGUAAAUUUGGUUGCAUGUUCUAGUGAAGACAAAUGCAGAACUCACGUCAUUGUGUACUUCAGGGGCAUGCAGACGUAUCGUGGACGACAUGAAUGACAUCUCUUGUUUCAUGACGACGUGCAACAGAAAAGUCAAUUUACUUCCUUGUUCCCCGGAACAUUUCUCUUGCUAUUUUUGAAUGGUUUGCGUGCAACUAAAAUUUAUCAUCAGACACUUUUUCUUUUUCUUUUAAAUAAAGCAGAAGCAUUGCUGAUUUAUUUAAGAAGAGGAGAGAAUGUCUGGGUUACAUAUGGUUCGAUGUUACAUAAAUUGAUUAAUUCACUUAGAAUAACAUAAAGAUACAAAAUACUUAAACCAAAUUCUAGGUUACCACGUACCCGUUGCAACAACUGGACUCUUGGAUCAACAGGAAAACCUGAUGUGGCUUCAAGCUUUUUCUCUUUAAAAACACACCGAUUCCGUUCCUUCCAUGCUGUAAACAUGAGCAAUGCAGCGACACACCUUUUCCAAACCAUUAAAUCCAUCGAGCUGCAACCAUCAGCUCACGUGCAUUUAAAACUACACAUUUGAAGUGCUGUAAUUUUAGACGACAGAAAAAAAAAUUUGGCAGAUGAUUGAGCUGCUGUUUUCCUUUUCUUUUCCUAGGCAUGCUAACCAUCGCAAGUCUGAAUAAUUUGCUAAAUCUGUUAUGGCUGUGUGCAUCCCUGAUAGUGCAGACUCCGGGGCUUACCUUCAUUGUAUAAAAAUGCUAAAUCAUCAAAUGGAUUCCUAAAUAUCAAUUAGAAUUUAAAGAUGCAUGUCAUAUAAUAUAUUCAUAGUUAUAUAAAAGAAAGGGUAUGUUAGAUUAUGAAAAAUCUAUGUUCAUCAAUUAGGAGAUCAAGAUGGAUGAACAAGUGAAAGUAGUGAACAAACUUCUUCAUCCAAAGCAUUUUGCUUGUAUCCUAGUUUUGUUGGUGUUUUAUGCUGCAGCUUGCUUAAUUUUGCCCAACAAGAAUGGCUUACAUCUUUGACCUUUUCUAGGUGAAGAUAAAACAUUUAAGACUCACAUGAAACGAGCUGCUCCCCCCAUUUUUAAAUAUACGACGCUUAGGACAAGCUAAUUCUUAUCCUGAACGUCAUAAAUUUAAAAGGUAUGGAGUAUAGUAAAAAAAAAUCCUGCAAACUAUUAGAUUAAAUGUUGUGAAAUUAAUUUCUUUUUUGUACACAUGGUCUCUAUUAACGCGUAAAAGACAAUCCGCUGCAUUUAUCAGGAAAAGGGGAUUUUCUUUUACUGUAGUUUAUCUGAUGAGAGUUUCAAGGUUUUCACGAAUUGGCUAGUCAACCAGGUUUAUUUUGCACCUGGUUUCAUGUUUCAGUUGUGCAUCUAGUAAGCUGGUGCAAUGUUUACGUUUGCCGUUUGGUAACGAUUCAUGUCAAUGUCAUUGACUCAUUGUACAGGUGAAGUUUACGUUUAUCUUGUCCAUGCCACUACUCGAUUGGAUCAGUUCAUGGUGCUGCUGCAGCCGGUGAAAAUGAAAAAGAAUGAGAGCCAGAGAACUGAUGAGCUCUGUAUCCCAUUCAGCUAGAGAGUAGAGACUCAUUGACGGAUGUAUAAGGCAUGAACUCAUAAAUUAGCAAGCAUGGUGACUUUGUUUACAGAUGAGUAGAUGACCAUCUAGGAAUCUUAAUUAGAACAGGCUACAGAGAGAAAGGGAAAGCACUAGUGAUUACAGAAGCAAAACUACCAGCACCACAGAGCCCGGAAAGAUAGCAUCAUGAGAAGAGUAGUGGCGAGCUGCACCGCCCCGACCUGGAGUUGCAGGGCGCCCAUCCCCACGUCGUCCUGCAACGCAAUGGAGAAAAAGAAGUCAGAGCAAGGUGCAGGAAAGCAAAAGGCUCGGUAGAUGCAAAGCGAUGGGAAAAGCAGAGGUUGCAAAGAUGGGAGAAAAGAUCGAGGAAAGGUAAGUAAACCGGAAGCCGUAAUUUUUUCAGAAAUUACUGGCACCUAGAAAAGAGAGUAGUAAGAAAGAAAAAAACAAGAAAAAUGCAUGCAAAUGCAAUGCGAUUAGAGAGGAGAGGAAUGGCGAGCGGUUGCGGUUGGGUACCCGAAGUUGUUGCUGUUGCCCAGGGGUGGGCAUUGGCAGGACGGUGGCGGAGUCGGUGACGCCGGCGGGAAGCGGCACCGCGGGGCUGCUGCUGAUGAAGUCUGCGCUGGCCGUCCCGGCCGGCGCCCCCGCGGCCGCGCCGUGGUGGUCGCCCGACGAGGGCGCGCCCGGGCUCCGCCGCUCGGACGGCAGCCUCGGCGUGCCGUCCUCGUCUCCGCCGCCGCCGUCCGAGCCGGGCACCGGCGCCGGCGCCGCCGAGGGCGAGGGGCCCAGCGGGAGCGGCGCCGGGCGCGGCGAGUAGUCCGGGACGACCACGGUCAUGGGCACCUUCUCCUGGCGGCCGCCGCCGAAGAAGAAGGCGCACGACGGCUGCGGACGCGCGAGGAGGGAGCAGAGCGCCACCACCGCGAGGAGGAGCGCGCGCUGCGCCUCCCCCGGCCGCGAGCCUCCUCCUCCCAUUGCUCCGCCUGCGCGUGCCACUCGACGCCACACCUCAGACGGAGCAAUGCCGGCCGCGCAGCGCACUACGCAGGAGGGGCGUGCAGCGUCAGCGUGCUCCGAGCUCUCCCUCUGGCACAGUGGCGCUAUUUGGUGGUGGCCUGGUGUUGGUUCGAGACCGUUGCUUGCCCGUGACCUCCACCGUUGGCCGCGGCUUCGGGGUGGGGCGCGCUGCCUGCCGCGGCGCAGUGCCUUGCCUGCCCGGUCGCUGCAGCCUGCAGGCGAGUGCGCUAGCGCAGCAGCAGGCUCGGCGUGGAAAGCGAAGCGCGCAGUGCGAACAAAAGGCUGCGACAAAGCGGGCACCUUUCGACACUUUCUCGGGGCGGGCGCCGGCGGCAAGGAAUCACCCACCAUUCACCAAUCCGGCUAGUCGCCUAGUGCUGCCAGCAACACUCCAUUAGCAGCUGAUUGCUCGCACUAAUCUGCUGAUCGCCGCGUGAAUUGGGAGUAGUUUGCAGUAAUCUUUGCGACCUUUGUGUGGGACAGUGGGAGGAGCAUGGUGGAGGAGUGGUGUGGGUGCGGCGCAGGCGUGCCCGUGAUGGCGGUGUCGGAUCCGGCCGGGGCGCGGAGGCCGGAGCGAGACUUUGCGGGACUCGGAGUGCUUUCUGGGGCCGAUAAUUGUUGCAUCAAUGGGCGGCAUCGGCACGGCCACCGGGGCACGUGCACUCCAGUAUGGUGCCGUGAGAGUCAAAGCAUGGAGAACAGCAGCCUUGCACGAGAGAUGGAGGAUGGGGUCAAAUUCUCGGGAGGCCGUUCCCAGUUUGAAGAGGACCGAAGGGGAUUGGAUUGGAGGGGGUUGGAAAGAACUGCACUACUACGUGCAGUUGGCCAAGGCUGCAAGGGAGGAGCCAGCCACCCAAGGCUUGAAUCCUGCCUCCUAAAAAAAGCCUCCAAAGAAGGCUGGAUCAAGGGAUCCUUUUAAAAAAGGAAAAAAAUAUAUAUUUUUUAUCCUUUUAUUUGUAAAAGUGUAACAUUCAUCUCUUAUAUUUCAUUUGGUGCAAAUCAACCCUUAACGGUAUAUUUAUCAUCCCCACCUUAGUUUAACAAUGGUUUAGUGCCAUCUAAUGAUGAUUUAUGCCACGUAACAAUGGCUUAGCGAUAUAAUAUGUGAGUCGAAGAUAUAAAACUAAAAAAACACAGUAAAUCCUCCAAAUUGCCUAUCUCAUAAAAAUUUUAUCAGAAAAAUUAACGGAACCGAUUCACACCGAAUUAUUAUAGCGAUUGAUUCAACAUUAGAUGUGGCUAAGCAGUGAUUAAUAAAAUGAUGACAUGGCCUAAACCAAUGUUAUAGACACUAAAUCAUUGUUAAACUAAGGUGGGGAUGAUAAAUGCACCGAUUUAAUUAGGGAUGAAUAUCACACUUUUGUAAUAUUGGAGGGAUGAAAAAUACACUUUUUUUUCUUUUAAAAAUAAAAAAAUUGGAGGGGGUUGGGGGAUUAAAUCCAUUACAAGUCAAAAUCCCUUCAAUCCUCUUGGGAAAGGAUUAACCGAACAAGAUCUAACCGCCAUGCUCAUCUUCUUGCGUUUUUAGUAUUACAUUUUUAUUUUACAAGCUUUUGAAGAUUCCGUUUAGAAUUGAUGAGAAAAUCAACAACUAGAGCUAUGCAGAGGUUGGCUCACAAAUAAUUAGCAUCAAUCGAAAACAGUAAUGAGCAUGCCACGUUACGUAGCAACACAACCAAAUUAGGCCACGUUUGUUUCCGCUUCUCUCAGCCAUGCUUCAAUUAUAAUCUAAGCGAAGAUUUUCUCACUUCUUACUUUUUACUUCUUGUAGUUCAAAUCUCUGAAGCGAAUUACCACAUAAGCAAGAAUCUGAGAAAUUAAGCAAGGUGUUUAUUAGUAAGAUUUUCGCUUUAUUUUCACCGAUAAGCUGCUUAUUAAUGAAAAAAAAACAGUGCCUUAGACUGCAUGUCUACCACCUUACAAUACACAGGCACACGCUUCGACCACCAAUGAGUAAUUCUAGAGGAGGGAUAUGAUUUGACCACCCAUAUGGUCAUAUCUAUAUGUGAAGGUAUUCUUCCUUCUUUGUAUUUGAUAUAAUACAAGAAAUGCUUAAGAAGACCAAUAUACCACUUCGAUCUUGAAAUUUCGCCCCAUAAGGCAUCUAUUAUCUUAGUAAUUCAAUUGGCUGACAGUAAUGUCCAUGUUCCCUCUCAUGACUUAGGCAAAAAGUUUCUUCAACUGGAAUACAAGUCUUUUUUUAUUGCUUGUGAGGUUGUGGGUUUAGGUGUUUAAUGUUGAUGUGGGAAAGUUUAGAAAAAAAAUCUCUAAAUCUAAUGAGAUUACGAUUGUUUGUGUUUCUUACUACUCUGAUUCUGUUACGAUCAAAGAAUUUCACAGGUUUGAGAAAUUUUGCGAGGAGUGAAACCUGGCCACUUGGACUUGUGUUGGAUACUCGCCACAUGUGUGCCCCACAUUUUCUUAGGACUUGGUGUCAGGGCAGGAAUAGCAUCGCUCGUGUGUGUGUUCAAGUCAACGGUGUGCGUUCACAUUACAUGAGGUUAGACCUUCAGUGUAGUUUAGAUUUGUGCUACCGUCCAUGCUUUCUUUCUUUAUUAGAACAGAUUUUUUUGAGGGUAUUUAUUAUUAUUGGGAAAGAAUUAUGAGUCGAGAAAAGCGAGAGGCCAAGAAUCAAUCGGUCUUGUUCACAUCACAUGAGGUUAGACCCACGAUAGGCCCAAGAUUUCGCCGGCGGAACCCAAAGCUGCUGUCCUAUCGUGUGGGCUAGCUCCCUCCCGUUCAGAACCUUGCAUAUCAUUAGGCCCAAGCAUAGAUUCAGCCCAAUUUGCUCACUGGCAUGUCAUGGUUUCCGCGUCUAUUUCUGGUCUUUGUCGACCACUGGAACAGCAGAAAAUCAUCCGAGAAAACUGAACACACGCAAGUAGACGACAUUUCUUCAGGGGAAAAAAAGGACAACCAGCCAAGGAUGAAAAUCUUGAGUUCUUGGACGCACCCACUGACACACGCACCCAUCAGCGGUUCUCUUUUCGUCGCCACAUCAUCCUCCUCCCUCCCACCUCCUGAAAACAAUCGAUGGACCCCGACAAACGCAUGAUUGAUCUGUUGAUGGCCCUGCGAAAAGAAUCGAUCCGUGUCUUGUUUAUGCCAAGAGAUCACUGACAAAAAAAGGUCCUUUCUAUUUCCUUUGUCACUUGGGCCGUGUUUAGUUGGGGAAUUUGGGAGGUGCCAAAUUACUGUUACAGCACUGUAGCACACUGUAGCGUUUUGUUUGUAUUUGUAAAUUAUUGUCCAAAUAUUGACUAAUUAGGCUCAAAAGAUUCGUCUCGCAAAGUACAACAAAACUGUGCAAUUAGUUUUGAAUUUCAUCUACAUUUAGUACUCCAUGCAUGUACCGCAAGUUUGAUGUGAUGGGGAAUCUUCUUUUUGCAUAGUGUCAAAGUUGGGAGUUGGGAGUAACUAAACAUGGCCUUGUUUACGUCCACUAGCCGCCGUGCACCACCGAUCGAUGCGCCAUCUGCCGUGGUGAGCCAUAAUUGGCAUGCCUGACCCACGAGCUAGCCAGCCGGACAACGAUCGAGGUGACGCUGGACACAUGGCCGCCGGCGGCGGCGAUGCGGCGGCGGCGGCGGCGGCUGGCGUGGCGAAGGACGUGGAUGCGGAGGUCGUGGUCGUGGGCGGCGGCAUCGCGGGGCUCGCGACGGCGCUGGCGCUCCGCCGGGCGGGCGUGGCUCGCGGCGCCGGCGCUGGCGUACUGGUGCUGGAGCGCCACGCGGAGCUGCGCGCCAUGGGAGCCGCGCUCACCAUCUUCCCCAACGGCUGGUUCGCGCUCCGCGCGCUCGGCGUCGCGCACAAGCUCACCUCCCGCUACGAGGCCUACGAAACGUGCGUUGCGUCGCCGUCGUGUGCCCGACCGGAGAAGUCAAGCUCAAUUCUAGCUCGAUUCGCCAUGUUUACUCGACUGAAUUGUGUCUUUAUUCGCUGCGCCGCAGGUCCAAGGCGACCAAUCUUGAGACCGGAGCCACGCAGGUGUUCCGCUUUGCCGGUAACAAGAACAAGUGAGUUUAUUCAUCGAUUCCUACACAAUUCCUGUUGGCUUGUCACGUUGCUUCUGGUUUAAAACAGUAGCUUCGACUGAUCCGCCUGGAUGUUUCGUUUGCCUGAACCGAAAAUUUGAAAAAAAAAAAAGGGGUGAAGAAGUCAGAGUGAGGGCGCUGGACAGGAAGGCGCUGCUGGAGGCGCUCGCGGAGGAGCUGCCGCCAGGCACCGUCCGCUUCUCGUCCAAGCUCGUCUCCAUCGACACCGAGCGCGCGGCCGGCGACGCGUCGGAGACCGUCGUGCUGCGGCUGGACGACGGCGCAGUGAUCCGAGCCAAGGUACGCUAGCACAACGUGUCCACAUAAACAAGGCUACAUUACAUUCUUGCAGUUGAAUUGCAUGCAAGUGGGCAUGAUUGGUGGUGUCACAGGUCCUGAUCGGUUGCGACGGCGUGCACUCGGUGGUGGCGCGGUGGCUGGGCCUGCCGGAGCCGGCGAGCUCGGGCCGGUCCGCCGUGCGCGGGCUCUCCACCUUCCCCGGCGGCCACGGCGCCAAGCGGGAGCUCCGGCAGUUCCUCUCGCAGGGCCUCAGGGCCGGCAUGGUGCCCAUCAGCGACACCGACAUCUACUGGUUCCUCGUCAACGACACCGUCCCAGCGGAGAAAGACGCCGCCGGGGACCCGGUCAGGACCCUGCGCGAGGUCACCGGCAGCCUCGCCGGCCACAUGCCGGCGGAGUACCUCGACGUGGUGCGCCGCUCCGACCACGGCAACCUCUCGUGGGCGCCGCUCCUGUACCGGAACCCUCUGUCCAUCCUCACCGGCGCCGCCGCGCGCGGGGCCGUGACGGUGGCCGGCGAUGCGUUCCACCCGAUGACGCCCGACAUGGCGCAGGGCGGGUGCUCAGCGCUGGAGGACGCGGUGGUGCUGGCCCGCGAGCUGGCGCGGGCGGCCACGCCGGCCGAGGGCGUGGCCGCGUACGUGGCGCGGCGGCGGUGGCGCGCCGCCUGGCUCGUCGCCGGGGCCUACCUGUCCGGGUGGGUCCAGCAGGGCGGGACCAACGUCCGCGGCGCGCGGGGGCGCCUGGUGAAGAUGUUCCGGGACUGGGUGUUCUACCCGUUCGUGUUCCCCAGGCUCGCCGACACCAUGUGGUUCGACUGCGGCGACCUGGCGCCAUGCGCCGAAGGCAAGAUCCACAAAGAGUGAAGUAAAGGACCGCAAUGACUUACUUGUAUGUGAUGUAUGCUUGUGGACUGCAAGAUUUUACAAUAAUGUUUCAGGUUGUGCGUGUGCUAGAAAAAAGUUUGUGUUUGGUCUAGAACUGAUGUGUAGGAGAUACUCCCUCCAUACUCACAAAGAAAGUCGUUUUGGACAGCGACACGGUCUCUAAAGUAUUACUUUGACUCUUUGUUUUUAUAAAAAUAUUUAUCAAAAAGUGAUAUAUGUAUAGUUUUAUGAAAGUAUUUUUCAAGACAAAUCUAUUUAUAUGGCUUUCACAUUUCCAAACUCAACAACUUAAAAGUUAUUCAUGAUUUAUAUUCCCAAUAUUUGACCCAAACCUUGUCCAAAACGACUUCCUUUGUGAGUACGGAGGGAGUACGAAGACACAGAUGAACAGAUGAUGUCAUCCAUUGGGCAUUUGGGCUACAAGCUUUCUGCUGGAGGUUCCUUGUUUAAUUUGCUUGUGUGAUCAGCGCGCAAGAGAAUGAGAGAUGCUCCUCCUGUGCAAGCAAGAGCCGUGCGUUUCCAAAGUGGCAAAGUCCCAGUGUCCCACAACCAAAACUAAACCAUAAAUAAACAACAAGCGAGUAGAAGCCUGCAUAUUGCAAUUUCUCUCACGUUUACGCUUUGUUUUCUUCAUGGUUCACAAGUCACAACUGAUGUGCAGAUAUUUUAAUCUCCAAUGUGGCAAAGUGCCAUGCAUCGGCUCUGCUAAUUCAUGCGCGUCCUGUAGCAGGGCACCGUACGGUUUAUUUCCUAUAGCAUGUCGGAACCGUUUCCACGCUACCCCGGCCUUUCCAUUCCCCUGUUCAAAUUAAAAAUUACAACAAACAAAAAUUAUAUAUAAUAUUUAUACACAAAAUUGUAAAAUAAAUUUUUAUACAUUUUUUCAAAUGCACAGAUUUGUAGAUAAAUGUUUGUAGAAAACAAAACUUCGAUGAACAAAUUUAUAUAAAAAAUUUAAAGAUAAAGUUUGCAACAAAAUGUUAAAAAAUGGAAAAUAAAUUUGUGCACAAAAUUCUGAAACAAAAUUGUUGGAAGAAAUCAGAAAGAAAAUGUUGAAAUGAAGAAGACCUGGGAUUAGGAAGUGAGUCUAGCUCAACUGGUUAGGGUGAGAGGUGUGGUCAUGCACUCUAACCACCUAGGUUCAAGUCCCCUCUAGCUCGAAUUUGGGUGCCUAUUUCUUCUUCUUAAUGAAAAAUCACCUAGCUCCUCCAAGGUUGAUCUAAUUUUUGAAGAAGACAUGAGAUUCAGGGACACCACGCUCCUCCUAAUGUAUCACAGAGAGAGAUCUAGAAGGGAAUGUAUGAGAGUUGGAUCUAUUGAGUUUGCAGAGAGAAAUGAGGAAGAGUAGAGAAGUUUUGAGAUAUGCAAAGAAAAAUGAAAGGAAAAGUGUGGAAGAAUAGGAGAUAACAUAUUACCCACAUGGAGAGAGUGGUUGGGAUUGAGUGUAGGAGCGAGUCACUCUAAUAGUAAUGGUUGUUUUUCUUUUAGAUCUCUGAAGAGUCAUACAUUUACUGAUUGGUGAUUUUUUUUAGACUCCAUGUUAAUAGACACAAGGCAUGCUAGAAAAAAAAUCUAGAGAUUCUUAUAAAAACUAAAAAAUGUAUGUCAUGAAUAUUGUAUACAUUUAUCACCUUUUGAAUAGUAUCCAUUUAUCUAUUUUGUUUUUCAAAUAAAUAUCCACCUCUACCACAUUUAUCACAUUUAUCCACAAAUUGCAACAAUUAUUAUUUCUCUUAAAAUUAGCGUGAGCAUGGGUUAAUGCACUAGUUUAACAAUUUUGAAUCCGAUUGGUUAUAACUUACAAAAAGUUAUUGGGAUCUAGCACAAUGUAAUUUGUCCAGAAUGUUAUUUAUCAAGCAUGCAUCGAUGCACAAGUUUAACAAGUUUGAAACCGAUAUGUUACAACUUAAAAGCGAGUGGAAGCUCAUAUAAUGUAAUUUAUUUGCUAACAUUUUUACUUCAUAAUUCUCAACUAAGCGUAAAAUACUUAUUCGUGUUAAAUUUUGUUGAAGAUAUUUUUUUCUUAUAAAAUAUAUAGAUGGGGAUUAAACUAAGGUUGAUAAUAACCUAAAUAUAAACUGACACUUAGCAUAUUGGAUAUGAUUUCUUUUGUUAUUAGGGACCUUAGCUUGAGUCCCACAAAUGAGAAAAUUUUUGUCUAUGCACUACCUUAAAUCCAAAAAUAAAACUUUGGAGUCUAAAUGUAAAUGUAUCGUGUUUAUAUUUUUUGAAAAUAUGCAGGAGAACUAUAUAUAUAUAUAUAUUUGCUUUACAAAUAUGAAUAAUAAAGUGUUUACAAUGGGAGUCAAAGGGGAAACUCAUAACCCCUAUUCACUAAAGGCUAGUUAUAUAGAAAACAAAAUAAUUUUUUUUCAUAAAAAGCACAUAUGGUAGGAUACAUAUUGUUUUCAUGUUCACUACAACAGACUAUAAUCGAGCUUAAAACUUUUUUCUCUUCAGUUUUCCAUGUGGGUUUGUUUCUCUUUAGUUUUCUAUAUGGAUUUUAUUCUUAUUUUGAAAAUUUUGUAUGUGAUUUUUAUACCAUCUUGAUGAAAUUCGUUUUUUCUCAGGGGUUGGGGCCAGUUCAAUUCAUGGUUAUUUAGUCGGGUACCUAUUAUUAUUUGCACUUUGAUAUGUUAGAACAAUUAGUACUUCUAUAUAUUGAACUAUUUUAAGUUAGUAUAAAGUCUAUGAAUCUAUAAUUCAAUGCUAAAUUAUGUGUUAUAUUGUAUAUAUUAUACAAUUGUAUAUCAUAAGAUUGUACUACAUGAUGUUAUAUAUAAUCAAUUAAACAUGCCAAAAGUAGGAUUUAUACCGUCAAAAACUAUUUUUACCUUUGAAAUUUCAAUUACCCACUCUCUACAAAUCCCAUGCGGCUCAUGUUUGUUAUGGGAACUCGUGUGUGACCAUACAACUACAACCAACAGUUUGUUCAUUUUUUUCACGAGAGGUGCAGGUAUGUCCACGUUUAAUCCAGUGCACCAAAUUCUUAUAAAGAAGGAGCAUGUCAAAUCAAGAAACUCCAAAUGCGUGUCUAUAUAGAUCAAACAAAAAAGUCUAGUGUUGGUGCUAGCCAUAGUCGCCAGACUCACCGUAGCUAGCCACCAUGGAAGCUUUCACAAAAUCCAAAGGUUGCUUGCUUAUGAUUAGUCCGGCAGCCGUGGGACUCUACACAAUCAUGCUCAAGAGGCGAUGAAGAAGCGAUUAACCAAAACCACCAUGUCCCUCCUAUGGUAGCUAGACUCAUCUUGACAUCGAGGCGAAAGGCCCAUAUGUCCUCGGUAGUGACCUUGACACACUGAGCAAACUCGUGGUGCUGGUUUCCGAUGGCAUCGAGUGGGAACUAGAACGCCAUGGCGAGGUGGUGCACUGAAAGGGCGAGCGAGAGGUGCUCAGUGCAGGAGAUGGUGAGCGAGCUAAAGAGGAGCUGCUCGACUUUGAGGAGGCUCGCCGAUGAGCUGGAGGAGCACGUGUGGUUGUGCACUGCCACCAUACAUAGGGCUAGGGUUUUUUUUUUACCACAAAGCAAGCAUGAUUAGAAAUUUAGAGUGUACCAUUUUAAGUGCACUAAAGUUGAUGUUUAAGCCAAACCUGAUGAGGUGCUUCACAUUUAUGGUCCCGUUUGGUUGCCGAUCGAGACUAGCCUCACUUCACUUUGACAUAUGAGCCUUGCCCUUGAUUAGGACAUGUUAUGCUUAGAUACAACCAUUCAUACUAAAGAUAAGGUGAACUCGUUCCUAUGUAUUCUUUUUAGUUAUUUUGAGAAUAGAUUACUACCUAAAUAUAUUAUUAUAUUUAGGAACCAUGGAGAGGAUCAUAAAAUACUUGAAGAGAGGCAUGAAGGCAGAGAGGAUCAACAAGGGAUGUCCAAGCAAAGUUGGAAGCCCAAUCUACAAGUUUGAGUUCAUCUCAGAGUCCUGGAGUAGGCCACCUUAGAAUUGAUGUUCAUAUCACAUACGGAGUCCAUUUUCAACAUUUUACACAUGCAUGGAAAGCUGAGAAGACACACUUUCCAAUAGGCACUGGUUUCAUAUCCAAAUUUCUUUUAAUUUAAUGGGAAUCAUAGAAAUAAGUGGACGUACAUAAUCUGCCAAGGUGCUGCGUCACCUUUUAUCGGGCCUCGGGCCGUGUACUUUUGCUUGGGACUCAGGCCCAAGUUGUUGUGUGCCCCCUCUAGGAGAAGAGCACCCAAGGGUGCCCUAGGUUGUCCUCCCCCUUGCCUGCCACCCCUUGCCGCAGCCCUAGAUGCUCAGGUUUUGCUUAGAUUAAUCUGCCAUUGAACAAUUUCGCCAUGCAUUGGUGUUUGUGAGACCCCAACUCGCGCGCUUCAUAUUAUUAGCAAUAUUUAGAUUGCAUUUAUCUUAUUCGUGCUUGUGUUCUUAGAUUCACAAGGAGGGCUGAGCCUUCGUGGUAAGGUCAGCUGGGCUGCACAUGGUUGAUAACCAGAGGAGAAGUGGUGCUUCGAUUGUGGGGUUCGGAUCUUGUUGAACGAAAGUCGGAUCGACUGUGUUGCUACUCCAUCAAAUCAAGAGUUAUCCUUACUUGAAGGAAGAUUGGGUACCCUAGUUCCCAUCAGCCCUUCCCUGUACGGAGAGCCAUUUGCCUCGUGGCUCACCCACUGCAGCAAGCAAAAACUUGCUCGUGCAAGCCCCAAGGCAACACCGCAACAAAAGCAAACACGUUUUUUUUCUUGCCUAGCCUAGGAAAACAAGUGGUGGUAUGUCUUCUAAACACACCCUAUGUUUCUAAGAAAGUCAGACAAGUAAGGAAGUAUUAUACAAGGGGAUGUCUACCUCACAUCCAGGUAUUUUUUUCCUUUUUCCUGCACCCAAAUUUGGCCCUUUAGAUCCAUAAUCAACUACCAUAAUGAAUCAUGUCUCCCAACCUUAUUUGCACCCAACCCCAUCCCAUCUAUCUUCUCCUUGUGCGGGCACAUCAGAAUGCGCUACUUGCGCCACUAUGCAUUCUUGAUGGCCCGACCCCAAGCCAACCACCAUCGCCGCGCUCCGUCUUGCCCCUACCAGGACUGGUGAGGUUCGCCGCCGUCCGCAGCUUUGGCAUGGUCCCCAACUACCUCUUCCUCUUCCACCGCCGACUCAUGGCCACUCCCUCUCUAACCUGUCCUGGUGCUCACCCUCCCUCCACCUCCAUGAGCUAACCAGUUAUCCUCCACCACCUACUUCCGGUGGCGCCCACGCCACCUCGCCGCCCCACCAACUCAAACCACCACACCACCUGCUGCUAUGCCUUGCCGGAGCUCCCUCUUGGUCUGCCGAACACUUGUAACCCUCACCCCCAAAAUCCCAAACCCUAAAAGCUUGCUAGAGCUAGAGAUAGAGAACAAGGUAACUAAGGUAGAGUAGAAGGAAAUUAAAUGUUCACCAAAAUUCAGGUGUGGGAGAGGGGAAUAAUGUCUGGGUAUGAUUUAGCAAUUUCCUUAUGUUGCGGUAGAAACUCUCACUUUGGUUCUGAUGCGUGGGGUGCUAUUGGCUUUGUUUGAGGAUAAGUUAGUUUUUUUGACUUAUUCUAUUUACCACUAUUCCUUGACUUCACUGUGAGAAAAAGAGAAAUGAGAGUUUCACCAUUUUUGUCUACGCUAAUGGUACCUUGUUGGAAAAUGAUUCGAGAAGUGAGAACUAGCGACGAAGGGUGCUGUUGUGCUUAUUUUCAUGCCAACAACCUUCUAUCUAUCUAGACAAACUUUGAACAAACGGAAACAUAGAACUUGAAAUUAUUUAUUCAAAGGCUUGACUUGAUAUGAGUAGCAUGGUAGGAAAUACACUUGGUCUCUUUAGGGCUGUAGUCUCUCCAAGGUUUGACUUCAUGAUGAUUGGCUGCGUGAUCAAAUGAAUGAAACCACAUGGCUAUAAUAGAGGUUGGAGGGUUUCCAAAAACUAUAAAGAGUGCAGAGGUGAUUUGCGUCUAGAAAUGAAACUAGUUUAUUACCAUCUCUCUUCUUUAAAUUGAAUGCCAUCAUCACUUUUCCUUAUGUGGCAGCUCACUAAUUAAGAAUAAAACUCCCACUGGGAGUAGCUUUAUGGAUGAUCUUUAUAUCAGUUGAAUUAAUCUGGAUUUUGAGACAACUAUAUAUGAAGACCACUGAAAAAUUUCUUGGAUGUAAAAUGAUCUCUCUCUAACGGUGGAAUCUGAGCCAUUGGAUGUAUAUAUCAGUCCAUGAUAGCUUAAGAUCUAUUAUAUAUUUUCUAUAUCUUAUAUAUUAUAAACAAAACAGAGACCUCAUCCAAUUAUCGAAUUGUAAUUAGUAUUUAGAUCUAGGCUGGUUUGUACGAAAUGUUGGUACCUUCAGAUUAAUAGUACGAAAGUAUAAUUUCAAACAUAGAGAGAUCGAUUAAUUUCAAACAUAGAGAUAUGGAUCCAGUAAAAUUAAAUAUGGCGAAAGGUCCUCUAGCCUUAGAGCACCUAAGUAGCACCUAGCAGGUUUGGGUUCGACUCCCCAUGGGAGCAGAUUAAACAGGUCUGAAAUAAAAAAAUUAUAAAAAAAUAGGUAGGAGUUUCCCCUGCUAACUUCGGUCAAAAAAUAAAAUUAAAUAUGCUAACUAAAUAAUUAGUAAGGGCCUGCUGUUUCCUAAACAAAAUGCUAACUAACUAUAUUUCAAGAUAUUAUAAAGUUACAAAGAAUAAAUUAUCAGCAUUACACUUCUUUCAUACUUUGUUUUAUUUAUAAAAUGAUAUAUUUAGUGUCGAGAAGAUGAAAAAUAUAACAUCUCAAUUUAAGAUCAUAGUUUUAGUGAGUAGAAGGACCAAACUAAUAUCUUCUGGGAGGGUUUAGAAAUUUUUACAUUAAUCUAAAAAAUAAUAUAUCUAAUGGUCUCUAGACUAACCCAAAGAGUUUACAUGAACAAUUGGCCAGCAGAGAGGAUGUACAAGCAUCAUCUUGAAAAAGGCUUAUCCAGCUAUAUUUCAUAAGUUCAUCAAGUAAAACAAAAAAAUGUAUUGAUUGAUUGUGAAUUUACGGUUUUUUGGAUAAAUAAUUCUAAAAAAUAAACAACAAAUCUAGCGGUACAAUUCGCACGGGCCAAAUUAUUGCUAGUGGAAUGGAGCCGUAUAGUAACAGGUAUCACCUUCAGGCCUUCAGGGCAAGGCUUGACAAGUUGACAUAACACAUGCGUUUUGUCCUUUGUAAACUUCACGAUUGUACAAUAUUUCAGGUUGUACAUGUGCUAAAAAAGUUUGUUCCAGGACUGAUGCGUAUGUAAGAGAUACCAUGUGAUGUAAUGCAUUGAUCUACAAGGUUGCGACUACAAGCUUUCUGUUGUGGAUUCCUUGUUUAUUUGUGUGAUGCAAAGUAUCACACCCGAAAUACCAGAAAUUAAUCAAGUUGUACUCUUACAUACGUUUACUCUUUGUUAUCGGCAUGGUUCAUAACAGGACUAAGUUUAUUUUCUGUUAUAGGCAACAUUAUGGAGUUUGUAACGGGAUGAGAUUUUGCCAUCCAAACUUCCCUAUCAACUUCAAUUUGGCCACGUAUCGCUUUAAUUUGAAAUUUUAACAAUGAAAUGGACAUUUAGACUUAAGAUGAUUGUAGCCGGAAUAAUAUUCAGGCCUAGUGUAGUGACCACAAACGACUUCUACUUUGCAUUAUUGCUUUAAAUUUCAUGGGCCACAAAACCUUAAAACUUCAUGAAAAUUUAAAUUUAAAUUCAAAAUCCAGCCGCUCUUUGCCAGUUCCUAGCGGGUUCAUUCUUUUUUGAAAAAAACCUAAAAAAACUUUCGUACUCACCCUACCCAUGCAUAUAAAUGCCUUCAAAAGAUUUGACUGACAGAUCUUAAGAUCGACAAAGUUACAUUGAUCUCGUGGGCUGUUGAUGGGCAAGUUGCCCAUUAUUGAAAGAAUAAAUAGCCAAACAAGCGGCAUCUUUAAUAAUUAUCAAAUCGGAGACUAACCAGCACCUUCGGUCUACACAUUUUCCCCUUGAUUUUUCCUUGUGGAUUUUAUUCAUUCUUGGAAACAUUACCUUCCCCGAGUAAGCUUUUCUCCAACAUCGGAUCCAUCCGGUUUGUUUCAUAAUUAUCACGUGAAUAAGCAAGGGUGGUCAAGAACCCGGGCGCUGGUACAUGCCACAGCCAUCAGAUCGGAAGCUCUUUCUGGCAAUCCGUGUGCCUGAACCACCAAACUGCUGAAAAAUUCCCAUGGACCCCUGCAGCACAAACCGCCAAGAAAGCUUGCACACAACCGAAAGCUCCAGGAUGGCGGCUGGGAAAGGACACAUCUGAAGAAGAUACACGCGGUUACUCGACACGCUGAUGUGGAGUGCAAGAGUUGGUCAUGGAAGAGUACAGCUAGAAACGACCUGAGCCUGAGGAUCAGGAGAUAUGGGCCCUGAUAUCCAGGGGCGUCAGAGAGAUGCAAGCCUUGAGUGGCACAAGUUUGGACAAGCUUUUUGGGGCACUAGUACCGGACAAAGCACAAGAUUUUUCUGUUAGGGUGGUGCUUGCAUAUAAAGCUUGGGCGAGUUGAGGUCCAUUCUAAGCCAAGGCAAGCGGCAGGGUUGCAUCUGGAUAAGAGGCAAACUGUACUUCACUUUUUGAAAAGGAUCAAGAACUUGGUACAGUUCUACACUGGGGCCAGAAGAAGCAAUCUGUUCAUCCAAAGGUGAGAUGGAAGAACUGAUCAUUGUAUUUUCCAAGUGUCAUUAUUUUCUGUAAAGUAGUAUCAUAGAGUCACUUAUCAGUUAAGUUCAAUGAACUAUGUGGUAGAUUCCAAUGCUUUUCUUUGAGAUACAUUUCAAAAUGACCUGAAGAUGCCUGCAAUAUUCCAUAUCAUUAGGACCUUCGCCGAAAAAUUGUGUGCUUUGCAGGAGAGGAUGGAAACGCCGGUGCGCGCGCAAGGACCCUUGAACAUAGAGGAAGAGUACAACAACACUCUGCGGACGCAAUCGAACGCAUGCUUCCUGUCAAAGAAACAGCAAUCUGAGGAAGAAAUGGAGGUUCUUCAUGACAAUCAUCAGGGUCUCAUCUCCCCAAUGCUCCAGGACAUGGUGAUACACCGAAGAACAUCUUCAGAGAUCGAGCUCGCAAUGGCGGGCUACUUCGAUGCCAGCGCCGAGGCCUCGGAGAUGUGCAGGCAGCUGCUCAGGAGUAUCAAGAGCACCCAAAGCAACUACCAAUCGAUGGAGAGCUUCCUUGCAAGCAUGUCAGACGGUAGCGCCCGGGAGCUCGUCAGAAGCAACCCUUUCUGCACCAUGACGCGAAGCAACUUCAGGCAGAUCCAUGAAAGGUACUCCUCCAUUCUCCAGAGCAUCAGGUCAAGCCACAGGAGAGUGAGCAGGAAGCUCCGGAUGGUGAAGGCCAUCAAGAAGCUCUCGAGGACGUGCGUCCUCAUGGUCUGCGGCGCGGCCGCGGCGGGCACCAUCGGCGCCGCCGCGCACUUGCUGUUCUUCGGCCUGCUGAUCGUGCCGGCAGCCGCGGGACUCUGCCCGGCGGCGCUCAGGAGAAGGCGGCUCUCGGCGAGGACGGCGGCGAGGGAGCUGCGGCCCGGCGGGAUGACGUCGCUGGUGCGGCUGCGGGAGCAGCUUGACACCGCGGCGAAGGGCACGUACGUCCUCGGCAGGGACCUCGACACGGUGAGCCACCUCGUGGCGCGGCUCUCCGACGGCAUCGAGCGGGAGAACGCCAUGGCGAGGCGGUGCGCGGAGAGGGCGGGCGACAGGUGCCCGGUGCAGGAGAUGGUGGGCGAGCUGAGGAGGAGCUGCUCGAGCUCAAGGAGGCUUGCCGAUGAGCUGGAGGAGCACGUGUGCCUGUGCCUUGCCACCAUACAUAGGGUUAGGCUUUUGGUGAUCCAAGAGAUCUCGAAGCAGCCAUGGAUAUGAAUGUCGAGCUGGUAUCACUUUGAAUGUAGCCGGAAAAAUAUGUUUAGGAAUGAUCACUAGACAUGCUGAAUUUAUCAACGGAGAUUUUGAGCAAAUUAUUGGGACUCAAGGCAUGCAGUACUUCCUCCAUUCCAAAAUAUAAAUCAUUUAGUUUUGUCAUAAGCAAAACUAUAACCAAAUUUAUAAAAAAAAUUAAAAUCUACAAUAAAAAAUGCACUAUAAAGAUAUAUUUCUCGAUUGAUUCAAUAGAACUAAUUUGAUGUUAUAGAUGUUGUUGAAUUUUAAAAAUAAAUUCAAUUAGAAAAUUUUAAUUUAGGAUAAAGUUAAAAUGUUUGCAUUUUAGAAUGGAGGGAGUAUUUUGCAACUAGGGGCUGACUCAUAAAACUGUGUGGUAUCAAACUGUACAGCUAGUAGCAUGAAUGUAACCAUGCAAUCUUAUCAUCCGUUUAUGUUUUAUCUUAACAUCGCUCUAAUUUAUUUUAUCUGAACGUAAUUCGGAAAUACCGUGCAUGUGCAUAUUAUUCUUAGGAUUUCCCGUUAGCUAUCAACUUUGCGCCAAAAAGACCUCUGACAGAAAUGUUUCUCAAUCAGUUUUGUUGCUUACUCCGCAUUUGUAUGAUUUCAGGUCAGAUUAAGGAGGAAGAGAAAUCUCAAUUGAUCAUCACAAUUACAAAAAUGCAAUUAAAGCAUUCAUUUUCAGCUUAUCGAUCAUCAAGAUUAAAUUAACGAUGAUGAGCGAAGGGAGGGGUAGACUAUGCUGGAAGUACAUAUAUUUGUGGAUAAAUUAUAAAUCCUUAAAAGCCCUACAUCUGUGUACAGAAGGAUAUAUAUUAGUACUUAAGAAGAUUUUUUAGUCAAUUAGAAGCUGAGAGCACUUCUUUUUCUCAACCUAUUAAGGCACUUCAAGGCAGAUCAUGCAUUCACCCCAGUACUCAUUACUUUAAAUUUGUUACGGUUGGUCAUGUAGCUACUUUAGUGUUUACAAGUUUUUAGAGCUUUCAUAACUAUUCUGUAGAUUAUAACAAAUAAUUGUUACAUAUCAAACUUUCCUAAUCAAACAUUAAUGUUUUUCACUAACCAAAUUUACUUCCAUGGACGUGAUAUGUUUUUGACUGUAUUAAAAUUUGGAUCCAAGGAAAAUAUGGUGUGUUUUUUUUGAAGGAUUAGUCUGUCUGGGAUGAUGCGGCUCCGGACGACACCUUCCGGCACUUUUUUGCUGGGUGAUCUGGUUUAGAAGAAAUUAUUUGCUUUCUUUAGUAGCGAAACACAUCAUAUUGAUGGAUGGAACCGUUCCGCGAUGCUAUCCUUGAACAAACCGGCUAUAUAAAAUCAGAUGAUUCCAAAUCGACCCAUGAUGCAAACUAAAAAAAGCUAUUAGAGUCUGAAUGUCAUGAAUAAUGGUUCUCCUAGCUGGUUUAGUGGACAUACGGGCACAUAAAGCUCUGCACCUGCACUUCAUGACACCACAAGUACCAUUUGAUUUGUCUUUCUCCUUUAUGUCUUCAUUUCAUAAUAAUCAAAAUAUGAGAUUUUUUGCUACAAUUAUUGUACUAUUGAAACUACUAGUUUGAGUGGUGCAAACUCUGGAGUAGAUAUGAGAUUGACGAAGUCACAUAUACGUCUUAUUAUCCACUCAUACAUCAUCUACAACUAAAAGAAUAAUUAACUAAAAGUGUGAGUACCUUUGUUGAGCUGUGGACUCAAAACCUAGAUGGAUCAACAAGAACCUUACUAUUAUUAGUUGGAGCCUCCACGAUCCACAUUAAUCAUUAUGGUGAUGUGUGCUAGAAAUAAAGAUAAAUCCAAGAAAUUCUAAAAAAAAGAAAUAUCCAACCAUCAAUUCUAUAGAAUCAUCAUUGACAAAAAAAUAGCCAACGGUCCUUUCUACUUCAAAAAGAUAAACUACCUUUGCCAUUAUGAAACAAAGUAGACUCCUAAUUCUUCAUCUUAAUUUGCCAUUAUGAAAUAAUAAUAUCAGGGUAGGUAGUCUUGAUGAAAAAAGAUCUAAAUUUUCAUCAAGACCACCUACCCCUGACAUUAUUAUUUAAACUACCUACCCUAGCGUAAUACCUAAAUCUGUGCCAUUGUACAAAAAUAUUGCAAAGUACUCAUUUAUAUGCUUCUAAUUUACCAACUUUUGGCAUCAAUGUACACAUGCUUGAUGUGCGUCACCAUGAAUACCACAAAUUAAUGUAUAUAUCGAGGAAGCCUUAGACAUAUUGAUUUUUUUAAAAAAUCAUAACUCAAGUAAAGAUUUGAAUAAAUACAUUCAAAUGCACAUAGAGGUUCCAUGCUAAUGAGAAACUUUAGGAAUGAGAUGGAAAGCCAUAUAGAUUCAUUGGUAAGUUAAGUCAAUCCCAACCAGAUAAAUAAAUUAUAAAGUAUCUAAACAAUUUUGAUUAGUGGUAGUCUCUAAAUUUAUUCAUGAAUUUUAAAUUAUUAUCCCAUACAAGAGGGUAUUUGUUGAAAACUAUUUGUAAAAAACAAUUAGAAAAGACUGCACGCCAACAUAUCGACAUGCAAGCUGGGUACACAAGAAUCACAUCGAUCAUGUGAAAUUGAGUGCAUUAUCACAUAUCGACAUGAAGGAAUCCAUGUUUGUAAUGAUACUCAUGUGAUGCAUGCUUGUUUAUUGCAAGAUUUUUACAAUUCAGGUUGUACAUGUGCUAAAAAGUGCCUCUUUAAUUUUAUUCUAGACUAGAAGGGACGUAUAGGGGAUGUGAUGCCAUGCAACAUUGAACUACGAUUAAAAGCUUUCUGUUGUGGUUGGGGAGGGAUUCUUGUUUGUUUGUGUGAUCAAUACGCAACAGAAGCUCCUCCUGUGCAAGCAAGGACAUUGCAUUUCCAAUGUGGCUAAGUUCCACCGCCUAGAAAUAUACUGGUUGCUGGAGCCAGUUAGUUACAAAAAGCUACUAGGAGCCAAUUUGCAACUUCUGACACGUUUAUUAUUACCUAUGUCCUCGGCAUGGUUCACAACUAUGGAGUUUUGUUUCCAGCUAUAGUAAGGUAGAUUUCUAAACCUCGAUUCCUUCUAAAUCACUUCUGCAGCUCCAUAAAUCCGUCAAAUAAUAAAUUUUGAGAUUGAAUUUCAUAUUUAAAAGCUAAUUAGUGGCGACACGUGUGAAAACUAUUGGGGAAUUUAAAUGUUAAUUUGUAAAACUAUUUUUCCAUAGUCCUGCUGGGCCCCAAUUUUAAAAAACUGAGAUAGUUUUUCCGCUACUUUCAGCCAAAAGUGUUUUCAGUCAAAUUCUAUGCGAAUUUUACAUUUGUAAUCUUCUCCGAAUAAUUUUCUAGAACAUGCAAUCCAUCGGUUUGUUUCAUAUUUUUCACGUGAAUUAGCCAACGUAAAAUCUGUAAAGACAUCUUUCUCAUGGACUCUCUUUGGGUUUCAGGCCUUUUCAUGGACUCUCCUGAAGCAGCAAUGAUGUUCAAGAACCCAGCUGCGGAAGGCUAGGAAAGAGAAGCGGUCGAGCAAGACCUUGUCGUCCUUGCUGCGGCUGCAGGAGCAGCUCGACACUGUGGCGAAGGGGACGUACGUUCUCGGCCAGGACCUCGACACGGUGAGCAACCUCGUGGCGCGGCUCUCCGAUGGCAUCGAGCGGGAGAACGCCAUGGCGAGGUGCUGCGAGGAGAGAUCGGGCGAGAGGAGCUCGGUGCUGGAGAUGGUGAACGAGCUGAGGAGCAGCUGCUCGAGCUCCAGCAGGCUCAGUGACGAGUUGGAGGAGCACGUGUGUCUGUUCCUAGCCAGCAUACAUAGGGCUAGAAUUUUGGUGACUCAAGAGAACUCCAAGCAAGAAUGAUAGGAAAUGUACAUGCACAGUGAAGACUGAGAGGGUGGAAUCCUAGAACCUUAGAACUAAGCACAUUCUAGCCUGCAUAAUUAUUGUGCACCUAGUAUAUUAAGAAUACAUCUCUACAUAUUUUUGUUGCGCCAUCCUGAAUUUUUUACCGGUUUAUGCUUUACCCUUGUCGUUUCUUUUGCUUCCAUUGCUAUUAUACCUGCUACUUAAUUCAAACAUACUCCAUUACAACCAUGUUGCCCCUAAUUGCUCAUAUUAGUUGUGAUCGAAAGCUAUGCUUUCUGUUUGGUUUUCUGAAUUCUGAAUAAAUGCACGUGCAUUGGAACCAGAGAAAUAUCAUAAAUUGAUCAUUUGAUUGGUUCCAUGCACUUCUUCAUACACUAUUUUUUAAUUGAUGUGAGUGUUGUUUUAAUUAGAUGAUCCUUAGGAGCUAAAAAAACACUCUUUGUGGGGAAAAUAUUUGAAGGCUAAAAGAUCACUUAUUUUGGGACAGAGGAGUAUAUUUGAGCACACACUGUCGCCAUAUCUUUGUUCUAUUUUAUUUGGAUUCUGUUUUGUAAGCAUUUAUUCUCCCAUUUCUUUGCUUUUCCAAUUGAAUAACUUUUGGUUUGCAAUCCAGAAGUUACUGUUGGGAUUUUUUGGGCUAACAAAAGAAUACAGUCUCUAUUAUUUGCUUCCAAAAAUUGUGAGUCACAAAAACAUUGUGCCCUCUUAUUUCGAAGGGAGGCGGAUCGCCACUUUUGCCUUGCCCUACAACCACUAUAUUCUGAACAUAUUCAAGGGCACAACGAUCAUUACAACACGAUAGAUGCAAGACCCCACGCGGCCCCGUGUUGAUGUCUUCAUUUUCCCUUUGUGCAGCUGAUUAAAUGGUGAAGCCUCUUCUUGCACCCGCUUCCCAAUUCUUCUUUGCUUUCGACAUCUUCCGCUCCUUCCGGCAAACCCCAGCUUAUUAUAUAGUGCAGCCUUCCCAGCGUGACAAGUGAACCCCUUCAUAGUCAUCUGCUGAGGCUAUUAUAAUUCGCUUGAGUGAGCAGAGCUAUCAUGUUCACUAGGGGAAGCCUCCUUGCCGUCCUUUUCUUCGGAGGAAUCCGAAGCCCUUUCUUUCCUCCUCGCAUGGAGCUGCUAGGGCCUUCGCUUCCAAAUAUUCAAAAUCAAACAAACUAACCCUUUGCCUGCCAGAAACAAUUACGCUCCAUAGUAUUUGUUGAUACCUAGUGCAGCAGAGUAUGCACUCUCUUAAACCAUUUCCGACAUGUAUCCUGUUCUAUAUGUUAAUGGUUUUGUUGGUGUUAGCUGUUACUAGAGAUUACCGAGCUGAGUUACAGUGUGUUGUGGCAAAGACAUCCUUUUUUAGUGGCUUGUGGCAAAUGUCACCUUUUUUCGUCCGCCGGCAAAUUUUGCCUUAUUAGAAGCAAGAAUCUUUUGACCGUCUAUAGCAUACAGUCAUAUAGAUGAAGAACACAUUUCCUAUCACGCUUUCUUGGAGAUCUCUUGGAUCACCAAAAUUCUAGCCUUAUGUAUGGUGGCAAGGAGCAGGCAGACAUGCUCCUCCAGCUCGUCAGUAAGCCUCCUGGAGCUCGAGCAGCUCCUCCUCAGCUCGUUCACCAUCUCAAGCACCGAGCUCCUCUCGCCCGAUCUUUCCUCGCAGCACCUCGCCAUGGCGUUCUCCCGCUCGAUGCCAUCGGAGAGCCGCACCACGAGGUUGCUCACCGUGUCAAGGUCCUGGCCGAGAACGUAAGUCCCCUUCGCCGCGGUGUCGAGCUGCUCCUGCAGCCGCAGCAAGGACAUGCAGGUCUUGCUGGACCCCUUCUCUUUCCUAGCCUUCCCAGCAAUCCUCCUUUUGAGCGCGAUCGGCAAGAGCCCCGCGGCUGCCGCCCCGAUCAGGACGCCGAAGAACAGCCGGUGCGACGCCGCGCCGAUGGCGGCCGCAGACGCCCCGCCGCACGCCAUGACGAGGAAGGCACGCGAGAGCUUCUUGAACGCCUUCACGAUCUUGAGCUUCCUCCCUAAUCUCCGGUGGCUCGAUCUGAUGCUCUGGAGUAUGGAGGAGUACUUGUCGUGGAUCUGCCUGAAGUUGCUCCGAGUUGUGGUGCAGAAAGGGUUGCUUGUGACAGGGAAAGACUUGAGUGCAAGGGGAGCACUCGCACUAGUACUGGCCGUGCUGUCUGUGAUGCUUGCAAGGAAGCUGUCCAUCGACUGGUAGUUGCUUUGGGUGUCCUUGAUGUUCCGGAGCAGCUGCCUGCAGAUCUCAAUGGCCUCCGUGCUUGCGUCGAAGUAAUCGGCCAUUGCGCGCUCGAUCUCUGAAGAUGUUCUUCGGUGCACCAUGAUGUUAUGAAGCACCGGAGGGAUGAGGUCCUUCUGGGUCUCAAGAAGAGCUUCCAUUUCUUCCUCAGAUUGGUAUUUCUUGAACAAGAAGCGCGCAUUGGAUUGAGUGCGCAGCAUGCUGCUGUACUCCUGCUCUAUGUCUAGCAGGGCUGCCUGAGCAUGCGCCGGCAUAUUCAUCUCCAUUAAUACCUCCGCAAAGCACACGAAUUCUCAGCUGAUGUGUAGAACUGUACUGGAGUGCCUCAGAACUGCUGCUUCUUUGCUUGCACUGACUUCGAAUGGACCUCACCUCAUCGGCCCAGGCUUUAUAUGCGAGCACCAUAGCUGAUAGAAGUCAUGUCAUUUGUCCUGAUCCUAAGGUUCAGGCGGUUUUCAGCCGCGUUCUUGCUUGACCGACGUGCUCCUGCACUCCACAUCGGUCGGUAUGUUUGGCUCUUUCCUUGGUGAUUUGCUGCUGUGAUCGGGAGAGAAUUUUUGCGACAGUUCAGGUACUGAGUACGCGUGUUUCCGGAAACAGCUUCAGUUCUGAUGGCUGUGGCCUGCACCAAUGCUAGGUUCUUGAGUGUAUCAUUGCUUCUUCAGAAGAGUCCAUGAGAUGGCCUGAAACCCAAGGAAUUUGGUGAGGUACGGACUUACAGAUUAUGGCUGGUUCACGUGAAAAAUAUGAAACAAACCGAUGGAUUAGAUGUUCCAGAAACUUACUAACUAAAUUGGAGCGCAAGAGCUUCAUGAUUAUUUAAAUCUUCAUAUGAUUUGAGGGAAAAACACUUCUGACUGAAAGUAGAGGUUUUUGUUGUUGCGAGCGGGAAAACUUUCUCUGCUUUUAAAAAAUUGGGCCCCAGAAGAAAUAUGUAAACAGUUAACUUUUUUUGAAUUUAUAUUUCAAUUUCCUGGAGUGGCUAUCCACAUGUGUCGCCUAAAUUUUUAUAUCAAAAAUUCAAAUUCAAAAUUGAUCAUUUGACUGGUUUAUGGAACCGCUGAAGACUGAAGGGAGUUAGAAGGGAUCGAGGGAGCGAAAUCUACUUCUACCAUAAGUGGAUACAGAAUACCUUAGUUGUGAACCAUGCAUGCGAAGAACAUAGCCUGAACGUGACAGAAAUUAGAGUUUAUUGGCUCCUAGUAGCUUUUCGUAACUGACUGGUUCCAGCAACCCGUUUAGUUCUAGGCGGUGGAACUUAGCCAACACUAGAAAAGUACUCUUCUUGCUUGCACAGGAGGAGCAUCUCCCUUGUGCACUGAUCACAAAAACAAACAAGAAUUCCUCCCCAAUAGAAAGCUUGUCAUCGUGGUUCAAUGCAUGUCGUGACAUGUAUAUCCCCUAUGCAUAUCUUCUAGAAUUAAGCAUGCACUUUUGUAGCACAUGUAAAGCCUGAAUUGUAAAACUCUUGCAAUAUACAAGCAUGCAUCACAUGUGUGUCAUUACAAACCUGAAUUUCCUGCAUGUCAAUAUGUGAUAAGGGCCCUCAAUUUCACUCGAUCCGUCUGGUUCUCGUGUUCCUUGUGUAACAUUAGGUGGCCAAAAUUGAACCACAUCGUAUCAGCGUGCAAUCUUUCGUAAAUGUUUUUUAUAAAUAGUAGUCCAUCAAUCCCAGCUUUGGUGCCUUUGAUUGCAUUCAUCCUUGGACCUGUAAUACCGUGCUAACGCAUACUACACCUGAUGAACACAUUAGUUCUAAUUAUUAUAUUAUCACUCAAAAUUACUAAAAUCACAAAUAACGGCUUAUAGGGGCCAUUUUCACUGCGACAUGUAUUCUUCCUUCUUUUAUUUUCAUUGUUUCCAUUUUUCUUUUCUUUGUUUUAUUUGGUAGUUUUUUUGUUUUUCCUUCCAUCAACUUUUCCUUUCUUUGUUAUAUUUUGCCAUGCCACAUGUCUCCAUCAUGUUUACUAAAAAUAGAUUUACUCAUACAGAUUUCCCUUAGCCUUUUCCUUGCUUGUUUCUAAACAAAAUUUUCUCCAUGUAAUGCAUACGAAUAAGUUUUUAUCUAGAUUAUGUGAGUUAAUCUUACUUCAACAUGUUUUAGCAAAAAAAUUAUUUGGUCAUUUUAUAAUAAAACUUAGUUGAAUUAAUUGUUCUAAAAACAUAUUUUGAACAUGUUUCAUUGGAGAAGUUGAGCGAAAAAAUUACAUGUAUAAGUCUAGAAAAGUUUCUCCUAAGAAAUUAUCCUAACAACAUUCUCAUAAAAUCAUUGAGAAGUUGCACUAACUAAUUGUAUAAAGAAGUUAUGUAUAAAAGUUGUGCGAUUGGAAGCUCUCUUGACAACAUUCUCAGGUAAGUUAAGCUGAAAAUUUAUAAUGAGAAGUUGCCCGAAGAACCAAAGUUAUAAUGAAAAUUUAUAACGAGGGUGGAUGCGGUGAGGCUGGCGCUACGCGGCCACUGACCCCGUCUUCAGCCGGCACGGCGAGCUGUACGUGGUGUCGUACGUGCGGCGCGACAUGCUCAUGAUCGAGAACCAGCUGCCGCUGCUCGUCCUCCAGCGGCUCGUCACCUUCCUGCACGGCGCGUCAGCCGCGGUACGUUACGUUCGUCUCGGAGUCGAAUCGAAUCGCAAAAUCCAUGCGUUUCGAUGUGCUCGAACUGAUUUCGUGAACGAAUUGACACCUCUGCUGCAGACCGACGACGCGAUCAACAACAUGGUGCUGGAUUUCGUGAAGCUGAACCACGACUCGCCGGCGGUCACCGGCGGCGGCCUGGCGCUCCACGCCCUGGACGUCUGCCACCGGAGCCUGCUCCACGGCCCUCCCCGGCCGUCCCGCACAGGGCCGCUGGACGAGUUCGUCCCCUCGGCGACGGAGCUCCACCAGGCGGGGGUCCGUUUCCGCCCGAGCCGGACACGGACGACGCGCAGCUGCUGCCUCCACGACAUCCGCUUCCACCACGGCGUGCUCCACAUCCCGGAGCUCGCCGUCGACGACACCACGGGGCACAAGCUCCUGAGCCUGAUGGCGUUCGAGCAGUUGCACGCGGGGCGGCGCGCCAAUAACGAGGUGACGGCGUACGUGUUCUUCAUGGACAACGUGAUCAAGUCGGCGGCGGACGCGCGGCUGCUGUCCGCCGCCGGCGUGCUCCGGAACGGCCUCGGCAGCGACAAGGCGGUGGCGGAGAUGUUCACCCGGCUGGCGACCGAGGCCGUGCUGGACCGGCGCAGCAGGCUCCACGACGUGCACGCCGCCGUCAACGCCUACCGCGGGGCGCGGUGGAACGAGUGGCGCGCCAGCCUCGUCCUGAACCACGCCGGGAACCCGUGGGCGAUCAUCUCCCUCGCCGUCGCCUUCGUCCUCCUCGUCCUCACCGUCGUGCAGACCGUCUACACCGUUCUGCCGUACCUCGACCAGAAGCAACAACAGACGGUGGCCGCCGGCGCCGGCAUUGGCUUGCUCCAGGAACUGUGAAUUCAAGUGGCAGCGAGCAGCAGGCGAGCUAACCACCUUUGCCACCGGGGUCACUGAGCCCCGACAAAAUCCCGUGAAUCCCAAGGAAAACUAUGUUCACUAUCAUUGGUAAUCACAUCGUGCAAGAGUGAUAACCCCGUUGGCCUUCACGGUAUGUUUCGCCCACCAGCCAAUGAGGUGUCAUUGUGUUGGGCUGGUGGCCCAGCCAACAAGGUGUCGUUGUAUGCAUGUUAAGGGUAAUGCUAUGUUGGUCAGUUACCCCAUCUACACUGUAUUUUCCUCCGGGCACUUUCUCUCACGCUAUCUAGAGUUACUACUAUCUUAAAACAAUUACCCUAUAUUAGUCAUUAGUGGAAUAUAUUUCUUCUUGGUUUGAAAUGUUUUUUCUUCAGCCAGAACAUUUUGAUUUCUAAGAAAUAUUUUUUUAUGACUUAAUAGUGGAACAAUUCUGCAACAUUAUUGGAAUAUUUUUAUUUGGGACAAUUUUUCCAUUCAGCCAGAACAUUUUAAUUUUUCUUCAAAAUAUUUUUUAUUAGAAGUUCUUUUUUCCUUAAUUAUAAGAUCGGAUUUUUUUGGCAAAAGACGGUAAUGAAGCAGGUGCUCACAUACACAUACGCACACUAAACUCCCGAUAUGUCUUGAGAUUGAUAGGCACUUUGUUCCGUUGACUACCUAUGAAUCAAUAGUGCCAUUAAACUCCUCAAAUAAAUUCAGAUAAUAUAUAUACCUGUACUGAGUGGAUGACAGAAAAUCGGAGUGCAAGUUCAACCACAUUUCCAGAACUUGUGCUUGCUUAUUAAACAAUCAAUCGUGCAUGAUCUCUUCAUCUUAGCUAAACUAAGUCAAUAGCAAACGACUUUAAGGCAUAGUGAAAAUGUAAAAAAGAUUAAUAGAAUUUUUAUGGCACCAUCAAUUUAUUAUCGCUACUAAAAUAUACCUAGGUGAUUUAUAUACAAAAGCUGGCUAUUAUUUUUUUGUCUUUUUGGAGGACCAUUAUUUUUUUGUUGAUUUCACUGAGCCGUGCUUUCUUUGACCGUUUGGUUGUUGGGAAGCGUUUUUGGUUGCUUCAUGACAUGGGCCUGCUAAUUAGUUUGCUCUUUUUUGUUUUCAUAAUAAGAAAAUAUUUAUUAUUUUUUUCUACGUUUGUAAGUUGCUGGGUUGUUUUUGUUCCUGGGCUUUGGUUUUCCUUUUGGCCCAGUUUGUGUGUUGUUGUUUUCAUUUUCAUUCCUUUUCAUUUUUCCUUUUUGAUUUUUAAUUCGUGUAGAAUUUAACCCUACCGAUCUCAAUAUGUUAUUCUCACGGUUACAAUGAAAUUUAUGUAACUAUUAUAUGUAGAGUUAGUGCAAAACAAUAACCAAUACUUGGGUGCUCUUAAACCAUUUUACCCGUGCAGUACAAGCCACGUAAAUUCACAUUAUUCGAGUACAGAUCAGAACAUCUCGACAGAAAAAUAUACAUAAGAUGAUCCAGUACACAGACACAAAGCAAAUAAAGCGCGGCGGCCGGAUGCGCACGCUUAUUACUCAAGGCUUGAUUUGCAGUUGAUACGGGAACACCGAGGAUCCAGAUCGAGUUCCUAGGUGCAGAUAUCAGUCCAAAUCAAGGCCUGACGCACACGAAUCGAAAGAGAAGAAUCAAGCAGUGGCGAUGAGAUGCUUCGGGCAAACAUGGUUUCAGUUGUGGCCGUGCUUCUUGGCGUCCUUCUUCUCGUGGCGCUCGUGGAAGGCGUAGCCAGCGGAGCCCACGGCGGCGACGGCGGCCACCUCCUCCUUGAUCCGGUGGCCGUGCUCGUUCUCGGGGUCCUUCUUGGCCUUGUGCUUCUCAUGCUGCAGUCACACGCAGGAACAGAUGCAUAUGCAAAUCAAGAGCUGAAUCAUGCGUGGAUAUACAUGCAGUUCAAAGAAAUUAAUUGGAUUACUGCUGACCAGAGCGUAUGCGCCGGCGGCAAUGGCACCAAGGCCGCCGAGCUGCUCCAUGUGCUUGUGGUGCUUCUCCUUCUUCUCGUAGUCGACCUCGCCGGAGCUCUCCUCCUCCUUGUGGUGGUGGAACAGGUGGUGGUGGUGCUUCUCCUCGGCCAUGACUUGCUUGUCAAAGAAAGAUCCAAAUAUAUGUUUCUCUGCAAAGUUAUCAGGGGGGAGAUGAUCGUCGGCUUCUUGGAUGGAGAAACUGUGGUGCCUAAUGGCCAGCAUUUAUAGGGUGGGAAUGGAUGAUGCAAUGACAUAACUACCCCUGCAACUAUUCAUCAAUCACCAUCCCUCUAGUAAGAGGGCAUUUGAGGGAGUGCAGAAGCUAAGAAUAUACAGCGGGAAGGAAAAACUUCACACCAGUUACACGUUUAUGUUUGGUUGGGAGUCAAAGGUGAAGUGAGAUAGGGUCAUUCCUCUUUUGAGGAUGAGAUACUAUCCUAAUACUCCCUUCGUCCGAAAUUAUAGAUCGAUUUGUUUUUUAGAUGUAUAGAUAUUAUUAUGCAUCUAGAUAUAGGGUAUAUCUAUGUGUAUAGCAAAGUAUAUGAAUCUAAUAAAGUUAAAAUGGAGUAGUUGUUUGGUUAGGGUGAUGGGGAGGGAUUGCAUGGACACCAUUUUCGUCUCGUUAGCUGUGAGGUUCCGUUGUCAGCCACUUAGACUUGUGGGGCCCAGCUGUCAGCUACUAAGAAGCAGAGGCCAGCCAUGAAAGCCUUAAAACCAAGUGAGAGCAUGAUUUUGAGCAGUAACUAGAGGGGAAUCCAAACCCGGAGAAUCCCAAGGCUUGUAUUUUCACGCUAAUUGCGCAAUAGAAUACACAUCUGUAAUACACUAUUUUAAAUAGAAAGAGCUAUGUCACGCUGAUAGAAGGAGCUAUUGUAAUGCACAUCUGUAAUAAUUAGUUUCACGAUAAAUCUAGUUACAUCAUCAAUUUUUAUGAUUUUUGUAUCAUGGUCAAAGUUAAAAUAACUUUAAAGUACUUAUUUUGUGUAUGGAGGGAGUACCAUGCACAUCGGUGAAAAUAACUUCCAUUUUCUAUCAAGAAGACUGUGUCAUAUAUUUCGGAUGUUUGAAUGCUCUCUGGCUUCUCACCAGAAGUGAUUUACAAAAUUCUUCUUUGUCAAUGGUGAUUUGUGUCGUUGGACAUGAUUUAUGAUCUUCUACUCCUGUCCUUAGUGUUCCCGGUGUAUGUUUUUUAGAAAAAUGAAUUGUCUCUGGCCUCUACGAUCGCACAUAGCCUAGUUUCUUAAUAUUCUCAGCUCGCAGGCUGAUCACAAAUAAGAAAGAAAAAAUAUGCAGUGGAUAGGAGAAAAUCAAAAGCUAAAUCUAUUAUUUCUUCUCCAUCCAUUAUUGGUAAAGAUAUUCAAGGCGAUGACCUCCAACAUCUUACUUGUGAAACAACCUGCAUAAUCUUUCCUUUGUUCCUAAUAGGAACCACAAUCGCAGUCAAUAAGCUAAUUUUCUAAAAACAACCUGCAUAAAAAAAGGUAAACAGUUUUUUUCUCGAGCACUGGUGAUGUUUUUACGCGGUCGCGUUGGAGCCUGUCAAGUGAAAGUUUGGAGGAGUUCGGCUUCCAAGUUGUGGGCGAGCUUGAAACUAAAAUGUUGAGGAAAAAAAAAACUGUGCUCGAUUCUCUCAUGUAGUGACGUGAAGCCUAGGCCGUGUUUAGUUGGGGAAUUUGGGAGGUGCAAAAUUACUGUUACAGCACUGUAGCACACUGUAGCGUUUCGUUUGUAUUUGUGAAUUAUUGUCCAAAUAUUGACUAAUUAGGCUCAAAAGAUUCGUCUCGCAAAGUACAACAAAACUGUGCAAUUAGUUUUUAAUUUCAUCUACAUUUAGUACUCCAUGCAUGUACCGCAAGUUUGAUGUGAUGGGGAAUCUUCUUUUUGCAUAGUGUCAAAGUUGGGAGUUGGGAGUAACUAAACAUGGCCCUAAUUAGCAGUAGGGUAAUAAACGCUAUUAGCGCUGCAGCUGCAAGCGAGAGCAAACAAAACACCUUUCGAGUACGAAUGUACGAUGCUGCCCUUGAUCGAACAGGUGACCCGUCGACCGCGAUGGGCUUUGGAUCCCGCAUCGCUGGCUGGCCUUGGCCCAGCUCAUCAGUCGUGUUUCCACGGGAACACUUGGACGACGGGAACUCGUGACCGAUCUUGUGCAGGUGGUUGGUCGCUGCUCAUCAUCCUCCCCUGAAUCAAGCAGGGAGGUGACAACGAUGAGCAGGGUGCACGCCAAUGGGCGUACUCCUUGAUGACUUGUAGGUCCUGAUGAUUGAUUUUUUUUUUAUUAUCAUUUCCCUUCUUCAGCGUGUGAUUAGUCAGCACCACACACUUGGCAAUCCAAUCCACAGGUGGCUGCGGCCAGGUGGCGGUCUAAAUGCUCUGCGUGCGGUGCACCGGUGGCCGUCGGCGUCGGACGACGGCGACGCCGCGUGGCAAUAUUGUCUUGGAUCGGUUAGUUUGGAUGGAAAAUCUCCCAGGUUCCUUAGCAUAGCAGGUAAGGAAGGCAUGGUCGCAUGGAGGCAAACGACGUGCCAACCUGCCGGUUAUGUUCGCUUUCGCGGGCUCACGUUCUCCUGAGGACGGCCGGGGUGUGCCGGAUCGUACAGGAAAAAAGCUAGGCCGCUCGGUUCUUUGCCACGGGGAGUCUGGCUGGAUGCUAUCCUAUAUCGGAGCCUGUAUGGGAGUGGCGAGUUGGGCUGAGAACUCUUUCGGGACGGGGCGUCACUGCUUAAGCACUGGGUACAUAAACAAACAAGCAUCUUCCAAAUGAAAUCAUGAAAUGAGUUUUGGUCCAUUUUCUUUCCAAAGGUACGCUCUAACUCAUGCACGAGGAAUGAAGUAGUUUAUUAGCAUGACAAGACUCAAACGUGGACGAAAUUAGCAAGUACGCUCCAACUGAAGCAUGAGGAAUCAAGUAGUUUACUAGCAAGACAAAGCGUAGGAAAUACAAGGAGAGAUGUAUCGGGACUCUCAAAAGAAAAUUGAAGUAUGAGGUUAUCAUGCUAUAAUUCCUUCAAAAUACGUAUCGGGACUUUCUUCUAAAAAAAAUCCAUCAAAAUGUGGUCCAUAUUCAUUUCACACUUAAAUUUCAGACAACGUGCAUAGAAAUAAACACUCCCAUAGGAUUGGCCUCAGUUCUCCAUUUUGCACUUAAAAUUACUACUUUGCUGUUUGCUAAAAAAAAAGGCGUUAUUAUAUUAUCUGCCGCGUCAUUUUACACAUCGCCCCAAGCUCAUAAGUCAUAAGAAGCGAAACAGUAGCUAGGCAGCACACGUGUCAGUUUGAUAAUCAAACGUACGGAUGAAGAAGCAUUUUAUUCCCGAAGUCUCGGUUACAAAGUCAAGUGCAAAACACGUACAUGCAUACCACGUAGAAAACGACGUAGAGAAAUGCACAUGCAGACACACCAACGCACUCUGGCAGCAUGCACCACAGCAUCGGCAUGCAGCCACAUCAGCAACCACAGUCACACGACACACACACACGGACACACGGAGCCGUACGCGCGAAAUUAAACUCCCGGCUCUUCAAUUUAUUCCCCUGCUGCAUGCAAAGCAUACUGCUGGCACUGCUGCAGGAGCGUCGUCGAUCAGCUAGCCGAAGAAGUGGUGCUUCUUCUUCCCCUCGCCGCGGCCGUCCUCCUCCUCCUCGGCGUCCUCCGCGGCCUCCUUGGCCUCCUUUUUGCCGUGGUGCUCGUGGAACGCGUACCCGCCGCUGCCCAGCGCCGCCGCCGCCGCCACGCCCUCCUCGAUCUUGUGCCGGUGCGCGUUCUCCGGGUCCUUCUUCGCCUGGUGCUUCUCGUACUGCACCCACACGAUAUCGAUACGCAUGCAUCGAUCGUCAGAAGAAAAAAAAACAUGUCGUCGGUGCGAGAGUUGCCAAUAAAAUUGAUUAAAGAGCGUGACGGACCAAGGCGAAGGCGCCGGCGGCGAGGGCGCCCAUCUCGCCGAGGUGCUCCUUGUGCUUGUGCUCCUUCUCCUCCUUCCUGUACGUCUCCGAGUCGUCCCGGGAGGAGCCGUACUCAUCGUCGCCGGACUUUUUGUUGUACUCGUCGUCGCCGGACUUUUUGUUGUACUCGUCGUCGCCGGAGGACCUGUUGUACCCGCCGCCGCCGCUGUUGUAGUCGUCGGAGCCCGACUUGUUGUACCCGCCGGCGCCGCUGCGGCCGUAGUCGUCGGUGCCGGACUUGUUGUAGCCGCCCUCGUAGUCGUCCGUGCCGCCGCGGCGGCCGGUGUACCCGUCGCCGCCGCUGCGGCCGUAGUCGUCGCCGCCGGACUUGUUGUACCCGUCGCCGUAGCCGCCGUCGCCGCCCGACUUGUUGUAGCCGCCUUCGCCGCGGCCGUAGUCGUCGCCGCCGGACCUGUUGUAGCCGCCCUCGUAGUCUUCGCCGGCGCCGGACCUGCCGUAGCCGCUGCGGCCGUACUCGUCAGCCAUCUCGAUCGCGUUCGUUACUUGUCACGUUCAGGAGUUUGUUUUCAGUACAGAAGAGUAAGCUGUGGUUGCAGUUGCGCUGUGCCUCCAGGUACACAGCAAUGGCGAAGCAUUUAUAGAAGGGAGCGGCGAUCUCCGAGCUGGGCCGUGACUCGUGGUUAAUACGCUGCACACGUCUUAGUGAAAUACUGAAAUCUGACAGGUAGUUGGGAAUUCUAGUUGAUUUGGCUUAAUCUCGAAGUGCAGAUAUUUUUUGCAGACAGGAACUAGUUGGCUAGUUGCUUGCAUGUCGACAUCAUCUGGUUGGGCCACGACUAAUAAUGGAUGGAUGAGGGUUUAUUCCCUGAAAUCCGAAUCAAUCCGAGCCUCAGAGAUUACUUGCUCAGGAUGCCAUGCCAUUCAGGAUUAACAUGGAAAAAUGGUUUUGUUUCAGUUCAGAAUACAGAACAAAACAUGAGCCAGAAGUUCGGGAAGAGAAUUUUUCGAAGUGCAUAGCAUUUUCCAACAGCUAAAUUUUUCAUAAAUCAGAACAAAGUCACUCUCGUCCAGUUUGCUCUGGCAUUUCCGUGCUCUGAUAAAGUGAAAUAACUAGAUAAAAUUUGUCUAUUCACAUCAUCGCAUUGGGACUAAGUUCUGAACGAGACCGGUGGAUCUGUAAGUCAUCACACCGUUCGUUACCUGAAGUCCUGAACGAGACUAAGUUCUGCACCCAAAGUUCUUUACUUUAUCUGAAAUGUGAAGGCGCCUUGUGUAUCUGUGCCCGCAUUAGACUACUAGUAUUACUAGUAUUAGUUGAGUGAAAUUGCUGUUGUCUGAAGUCACGUACACCUCAUCGUGUGGGAUAGCAUCUAUGAGUUCCUCCUUUGAGAAAGGAGAUUCAAGGUCGUGCCAACAGAGCACGGGCAUGUUUGCAUGCUGAAGAUAGCCAGCUUGGCACUAUAAUUUCUUGGGCAUCUCUAGGUAAGGGUAUUGUUCUAGCCACGGUUUAGUAUGCCAAACUUGUUCCCAUGUAGGCAUAGGUCUCACAUGUCAUAGACGUACACUAGAGUGGUGAUAAGAUUCCCUUAAUUAGGCAUGACUAAUAAGUUGUGAUGUUGUUUUUCCUCGCCACCCGGCUUUAAUUAGAUGAACUUGGCAGACUUCUUUUACAUGCAUACUUUGACAACCUAGAGGUUGUAGACAUGCAUGUGACGCAUCCCCUAACUUGACUAUGACGAGUGGACUAUUUUGUGUUUCAGUCUUUAAGAAUACAGAACGAGAUGCAGAAUCGUGUUACGUUGCAUCUUUCUUUAGGGCAAAUCUCAAGAGGUUUUAUUGAUUAUACUAUGACCAGGAUUACAGUUCCUGAGAUGGUUACCAUACAUCGUCUGCCAACUUGGAAUACUACAACCAGACAAGGUAAAAACAGGAGUGUUCAGUGAAGAGAAUAUGAAAAAGAAUAAAUUACAAAACCCUGCCUAUCUAGCUCUUGGAUUUCAUGCCAUAAGCCUUAAGCCCACAAUCCAGGUCGUCUGUCUUUUAGAACAAAAUACAUAAUUGAUUGUGUUGUGUGUUCCAUAAUACUCUACUUAUUACUACAUAGCAAAAUAAGUGUUGUUUGUUUCAGUGUAGAGAGCAAAAAAAAAACAAAGGAGAAUAUGCCUCGCCUACUACGAGUCGCUGGAUCGGAGCUUCUGCACCGACAGCGCAGAUUAAAAGCCAUCGUUUAUCACGCCCGGAUCAUGUGAAAUGACUAGAUAUUCCUCAAUCGAGUCGAUCGGGUAGAUGGAGGCAGGGCCACGUUACCGCACCGGAGCCCCAACCUUUACCUGAUUUUUUCUUAUGAAAACCUUUACCUGAUUAAGGUUAAGACUAAUUUCUGGACCCCCAAAACGGUCUUAUUUGUUCUGGACGCUAGCACGCCAUGUGUUGUAUAACUGUAUAAACUGUCGUUACUCAACUGAAACAAUCGUAGAAACCACGUGGUACCCUGUGAUAGCUAAGGUGUCGUCGUCGUCGUCCAUGGACCAUGGCUCAGUACAGCAUGUUGUCUCUUCCAAGUGGCGCCUUUUCAUUCAUCGACGAUCGCACUCCCAGCAAUCAGACGGCCUGCGUACCGUAGCUCUACACGUGCGUAUGCUACUAUGCUACUACCGCUUGCCAAAAACCUUACGUGACCGGUUGUCGGCAGAGGUCGACGGAGGCGGAUGAGGGGAGAAGAACCUCAUGGCCGAUGGGAAAGACAGCUUCGCGGUCGAGUCCAUCAUCUGCCUGUGUCCAAGUCGGAUCGACCUCGAUGCCGGCAGGCCGGCCAACUUGCAUGCUCGACCUGGCAAGUAUACGCGGCUAGGAACCAGCGGCGUCUCCGCGUCCGAUCUGGAGCGAGAGAUCUUCUGUGUGAGAUUGCAUUAUUGUUUUUUUUUGAGAGAGAUUGCAUUAUUGUUUUGAGAGAGGAUAUGAGGGAAAGUUUAUUAAAAAAAAGAUAUGAGGGAAAACGAGGGCCAUUCGUUCAGCAGCAGGGUCACGCGUCGUGCUCUGUUUUGGCGCGAGGUUCCCCUGCAAGUUGCAGAGCAAGUGUUCGGCCGGCGCUAUCUGGAUGGAGCCGAUAAUCGAUGGCGCCCCCGGCCCCGGCCCCGUCCCUCGCCGCCGUGGCCGAAGUGGACGGUUGCCCCGUGGGCGGCUAGCACGGCCGGCGCGGCGAGUUAAUGCGACCGCGCCCGUCGGUUGCGUGGUGUCAAGCGCCGUGUCGGCCGGGGCAGUCGCCGGGCGCCGGCCCAGCUCGCGCGCAGUGUCGGCAAGCCGCGUGCGGCGCCGUGUCCGUGUGUGGUCGUGUAGCAGCGCUUGCUGAUCUGAACGCACUUGUCUGCUGGAAGAAUACGCCAACUGUCCCUUGUCUCUACGGUGCGGUCCUACGUGGCUAUUACGUCGACUAGCGUCGACUUGCUCUGCCAGCAGCUCGCGGCCGUUCUCGACAAAGUAACCGCUUUCAGUGAGUUAAGGGCGCUUUCAGUGAUCUGAACCCCUUCGGUUCAGCUGCAUUAUUUGCUCGUACCGACAAUCGACAGUGGAUACACGACGACGUUCAACGACGAACCACAUACCCAUCAAUGGAUGGGAUGGUCCUUAUUUUCGUGAUUUUUUAGGAGCGAUACUGUUCCUCGUGUUACACUAGCCAUACAUACAAUAUGUCCAGAUACAUUUGAAAUGAAAAUGAAGGAAGUAUAAACUUAAAAAUAUCAAAACGACCUACAAAUUAAGAUAAGAUGGAGUGAGUAGUUUCAAAGCUAUGAUUAUUACGUUCAACCAUUACCAUCCCAAAUUUAACCAAACAUAACUAUCCCAUAUUUAACCGAACAUAACUAGCUCGACACAUACACGCCCACAGAACUGGCGAUCUUGACGCUCUGAGUAACUGCAGUGGUUGGAUGUGAGCAUCAGAGUAAGAAUGGCAGCUGCCAUCGGAGGACACAAUUUGCGGAGUUAUUAUAAGUCUGAUGCCAGUGUUCAUUUGUCCACAUCAGAGUGUGACUCCAAAUUUGGUUGAGCAAGCAUACCAGGAACACUUAUACAAGCAUAGCAAACUUUAGUAUUAAUGUAUAUUUACGCACGUACAGACAAAGCAGGAUUACAUAUUGCGCAUGCCAAAGCACGGCUGUGCAAGACGUAGACUACUACAGAUAUACACACCCCAGGCCCGAGCAUAUAACACUGAGAAUCACCUCCAUAGUAAAGACUUCAAGAUGGGAUCAACUAUGCAUACAGCACAUACAAUCCCAUUCUGCAGACAAUGGAGCGGUAAUACUCAGAUAUGUAUGAUCUCGAUCGACAACACACUUAUUCCUUUCCUUGGAAGCUUCUAGUAGUCGUCGGUGUUGUUCCUGCCCGACCUACUCAUCGGAGCCGGACUUGUUGUAGCCUCCGCUGUAGUCAUCGGUUCCUGACUUGCUGCUGCGGCCAUAGUCAUCGCCGCUGGACUUGUUGUAGCCUCCGUCAUAGUUGUCCGUGCUAGACUUGUUGUAGCCACCGCUGCCAUAGUUGUCAGUGUUGGAGGUGUUCUUACCGCUGCCAUAGUCGUCGGUGCUCGACUUGUUGUAGCCGCUGCCGCCGUAGCCAUCAGUGCUGGAGUUCUUGUAGCCACCAUCAUAGUCGUCGGAGCUUGGCUUCUUGUAUUCGUCGCUGGUGGUGGACUUGCUGUAUCCACCACUGCCACUAUAGUCAUCGGUGCCAGAUUUGUUGUAGUCGCUGCUUAGGUCAUUGGACUUGUAGCCACCAUCGUUUCUGUAGUCGUCGGUGCUGGACUUGUUGUAGCCACCCCCGCUACUGUAGUCGUCAGUGCUGGACUUGUUGUAGCCGCCACCCCCGCUACUGUAGUCGUCGGUGCUGGACUUGUUGUAGCCACCGCUGCCAUAGUCGUCAGUGUUGGAGGUGUUCUUACCGCUGCCAUAGUCGUCGGUUCUCGACUUGUUGUAGCCGCUUCCGCUGUAGCCAUCAGUGCUGGAGUUCUUGUAGCUACCAUCAUAGUCGUCGGAGCUUGGCUUCUUGUAUUCAUCGCUGGUGGUGGAUUUAGUGUAUCCACCACUGCCACUGUAAUCAUCGGUGCCAGAUUUGUUGUAGUCGCUGCUUAGAUCAUUGGACUUGUAGCUACCAUUGUUUCCGUAGUUGCCGGUGCUGGACUUGUUGUAGCCACCCUCGCUACUGUAGUCGUCCGUGCUGGACUUGUAGCCGCCACCCCCGCUACCGUAGUCAUCGGUGCUGGACUUGUUGUAGCCACCAGCGUUACCGUAGUCGUUGGUGCUGGACUUGCUGUAGCCACCUUCGUCAACACUGGUGCUUCUGUAGCUGCUGCGAUCAUACUCAUCAGCCAUUUUAAGUUGUGAAGUAAAAUAUCACAAAAAUAAAUUGUAUGCUCAGUUCUGUGCAUCCAUGGAGCAUGGGGUAGUAGGUAUUUAUAGCAGAGAACUAGAUAUGCAGGAGGUUUGAAAGCAUCAAUAGCAAUCUGAAAUACGGGUGGCUAAUAUGAUGGACAUUAAACGGUGAAAGCAGCUCAUUUGUUGUCUAGGUGGAGAUCUUUCUGUGCUCCUCGAGAAAAGACAACUGGACCUGGAGCAAUGCCAUAUGACCGCAAAGAGAAAAAGGAUUUUGAUCCAUCAAUACGUUUCAACCCUGAAAGAUAGCCAAUGCACCACAUAAGUGUUUUUUAUGUAAGCCAAACCACGUAUAAAUGUUGUCUGACGGAAACACACAUGGAAAAUCACAUCUUUUCUUAAACACCAACUGAACUUACUCUGUUUCCACAUCUAUAUGAGUAUCAAAUCUAUGUUAGUUGAUCAGUAAAUAAGAAUAUCCCGAAUAGACCAAUGGAUACUCACAUCAUGCACAAGUGGAUACAGCUGUAAGAAAUUACUUAAUUCAAAUUAGAAAAAAACAUUUAGGAUUUGAACACAAAUUAAUCAGCAGGUUUUUAUAGUUUCACAACAAUAAAAUAUGUCCAUAAUUCUACGAAUCAUGUCAUUAGGACAACACAGUGUUAACUGUGAAAACUUAAAGAGUCAUAAAAACAAGGAAACUAUGCACCACUCAUAUAACAGAACCAUGCUAUGAGAUGAAAAUAGCACAAAAUGCUGAAUACCAUCUAGAGGUUUUGCAGCAUGGUGCAACGUUGCAUCCAAAACCAAGAUCUGAACAGGAUUUUUUCUAGUUUUUUAUCAUAACCACUAGCUUAAAAUAAAUAGGGCCCAACUGUGAAUAGGUAGGCCAGCCCAUUAAUGAUGUUUAAUUUGCUAGUGGUCAGGUCAGGGUUAGCAGCGUCUAGCAGCAAUACAAGCAAAGAAAAAUACUAAAGCAUAUUCCUACAAUUAUUUGUCACCAGAACCUGUCACUACUAUUCUGAUAAUUAAUACACCAAUUCAACUUGCUAUAGCAAACAUCUGUUUCUCAGUGAAAAGGGUUGGAACGUUUGUAGUUGCCUGCAUAAAACAUGCAGUUAGAGGCUUGCAGGUACAGUUGAGUUCUGAAUUGCCUACUUACCUUUAAGUAACUUGACAUAGUUGAUCUGAAAAUGAGUAACUAUAAAGAUAAAGGAGCAAUUGCAAGGCCUGAAAUUAGCCAUUCAUUUGUUUACAUAUUUCUCCAGUUCGCUUGGAAAAAUGGUGAUCCCUGUAGAUAAGACAAAAUCUGGGUAAAAGGUAAUUGCAAAUAGAAAAGAAAGAAAAUUCUGAUCAGACCAAAAUUCACAUCAGGAAAAACAAAGAAGCGAAAGAUAAUACACAAUCAUACAACUCACUAGAAAUUAGAAAACCCACAAUUUUCAUUCAUCUGUAAGGGUCUGAGCCUCUGAGGGUGUUACAAUUUGCAAGUAUGAAUGAGAUCAUUUUGUCUAGUGGAGUUGAAUGAGAUGUCUUUGUUUUAUUCAUAGCAUGGAACUGUCAGCAUGUGACUUAAGUAUGAAACAUAAUUUUUGCUUUUACUUGUUGAUAGAGUUGCCAGGAUGAGGAAAUGCUUUCUAUCAGGUCCAGUUUUGCAAACCCACCAUCCCACCCAACCCUGAAAAUCCCAUCCACAGAGAAGGAAUCCUGUCCUUCAUCAAACAAGCAGAGCUAUUUGUUUUCAGUUCAUUGAACCAAGACAUAAUUGCCCAAAAGUAUUGCUAAUUAUUUUCCGUCACUACAGUCUUGUAAAAAACUCUUGAAUUAUAGCUAGGCUACACCAUUCUUCAUGAGCAGCCAAAGACAUGCAACAUGUAUAAUUGUAUCAUAAUGAUUUGAGAGUAUCUUCCAGACACAAAUAGCUAGCUUUUUCUAGAUGUUUAAACAAAAUAUUUUGCACCUUUGUUAAAACUGUCAUGGCCCAGCUUCAUAAUGAUUCCAUUCAUAACAAGAAGAAUUUGCAUCCUAACCAGAAAGCAUAUGCAUCCUUUUUACAUAAUGAGAAAAUAAAUGUAAAACUGAACCAAGGAUCGACCAUUAUGGAAUGAUAAACUAAUUAGUCUCAGACAGUCUCAGAGCCCACUUUCAGAUAAACUGCUACAUAGAUAUAUCAAAGGACAAAUGUUAAGCAAAGCGAAACCACAGAAGUAUGAUGUUAUCUGCUCCUAUGAAACCCAUCUUUAGCGGCUUUUCUUCAUUAGAACAAAGAGAAUGGUACAAUGUAAAUGACCCAACUUCCCAGUAGGAAAAAGUAUAUUACAGAUAGACUGAGCUUUUGUUAAAAGAAACAAUGGGAUUAACCAUAAACCAUCUAGAAACUAAGAUCAACAACCAUUGAUACUUGAAGCAGAGCAUAUCAAACAUCAAACUAUGGCAGAUAAUGACUACACACUUUACAAGAACAGAACUAUGCCAACAAAGACAAGUCAUGUGUAAAUCAAUACCUUCAAGUAUAUCUUUAGCAAGGUCUGCCAGAUAAUGUUGCGGGCCAUAGCAUAUACUAGUGAGAUAUUUGCAAUAGGUGACACAACAAAUAGCCAAACUAAAAAUGCACUCUUUCUGUUCCUUUGUGAAAGAUGUAGGAUCAUGUGCAGAAAGAUUGGCAUAAUUUUCCUCCGGAAGGAGAGGCUGGUGUAUUGAUGUUCCAAGCCAACUGAAAUCUAUAGGAUUCUUGAUCUUUUCCAGGCAGGGUAAACCUUGGACUAGAAAUGACCAGCAAUGAAACGACAAAGAUAGCAUUUGUUUGCCAAACCCUUCACAAGUUGAUCUGAACUCAUUAUACUUCACUAAAUCAUGUUUUGCAGAACUUUCUGGACAUGAAGGAAAGGUGAACUUAGCCGCAGAUAAAUACUGCCUCAUCUCUCCCUUCAUAGAUUGAACAAGAAAAAACAAUGACUGCCCAGCACCUAUUAAAAAAUGCGACAGUGGCAUCAUAAAGGAACAUUCAGAUAAGAACAGAUGGUUCGUAGCUCCAGCAAGUACUAAUGAAUAAGCUGCUGCAGCUUUGGCCAUUCUAAAAAGAUCAUCACUUUUUUCUCCAUGCAAACUGCCUGUUUUUAAACUUAGGGCACGAAACCGGUAAGCAGAGGCAAGUGUCAUGUAAGCAGUGAAACAGAGAUGGUGAAGAGGGUGCAGUAUAUGUUUUCUCCCUCGAAGUUCCCCUUUCUGCAAAUCUCUCAUUAAGUUUUCAGAAAGCAUGCUUUCAAUCAUAUCACAACAAGCUUUGGCAUCAUCACCCAAUGAGUAUUCAGAUAUUGCUUGUUGCAAGUCAUCAUCCAAAUCCUCAACUGUUGGAGCUGCAACAGCAUCCUCUGGUUUAUUUAAGUCCCUAGCAUCACACUGAUAGAUAGUCACGGAGAGAAGUGGUCAAGACAGUUUGUUUUUUUUUGGGCAAAAAGUGUAAGUGUUGACAACUAGGAACAUGUGCAAUAAGCUAAAAAUUCUAGUAAAAGUAUAAAAUGGGCUAAAUAAAACAUUGGUGUCACUAACUGGUGAAAGUAUUAUUAACUAUUUUCAGAGAAAUUUACAACACAGCAGCCAAGCUAUGGAAUUCAAUGGCAGUUUGCUAACAGUUUCCAUAACACUCCAUGACAAUGUGAUUGGAAAGUUUUAAUUGCUUGUGAACAUAGUGCCAACAAUAAAGGAAGCACAUGAAAAAUUGCAAAUAAAUUAUGAGAAUAUUUUAUCCCAGAUUGCAUUCUUACAUUCAAAAUAAGAUCCACAUAAGGUUCUGGUGAUGCUAUACAACGAUUGCAAGAACAAAUGAAUUUAUACUUUAACCACAGAUCCGAAUGCCUUGCUUCCUGGAAAGAGAUGUUAUGAGCAUGACAAGAUAAGUGAAUAAAGAAUGAAAUGCAACCAGUAGAAAAACUUCUUUUCCUCUUUAUUGACAUUGUAUGUUGGACCUCGGAUUGGUAACUACUGAUAAUUUUAACCAAGCUUUACUAAAACAAUUAAUAUGCAUUAACUAAUCAUUAGUGGAAAACACUAGUGAUGUGUAUGCCAGCAUACACCAAAACAUCAAAAGAAAAAAGGCUAGCCCAAAUUUUGUUUUCCUAUGUGAAAGUGGGGAGAAUUGGAAGACAAAUUGACAACUUUGUUUUUGCACACGCAAAAGCCUUGUCUUUAUAGAACAGAUGCAAAGAAACAUUAAAUUUUACACCACAUAGCAGGCCGAAGCGACUGCUAUGAAGUUAAAGACGAAUCUGGGAAAAAUGCUUAAACUAGUAUGCAACAAAGUUUAACAUGACAUGAGAAUUUGCAAAUGCAGAAUACAUUAGUAAGCAGGUAUGAUUGUUCAAGUCAAUAUAUAUCUUUUGCAUCAGCAGUGCAUGACUAAUAAGAGCGCCAUAUCGAAUAUUAACAACAGUGGCUCACAAGAAACCACAAUAACAAAAUUGAGUAAUAGUGUUAUAUGCUUGAAUUGGUGAAAUAUCAGGUGCACAAGAGUAAUACCGGUGAACAUAUGCACAAACUAAAUCUCCUCCCUCGGAUCCAAUCUGAAUGGCCCAAGUGACAGGUGGAAAUCACCCCAUCCCCUUGUCCACCUUUUAAUUGGACAAUCUAAUUGGGCCCUAUGUUAGCCCAAAAGGGAUAAGAGAACUUCCACCUCCCAUGUAGGCCUCUCAGAUUAGGUUCAAGAAACAUUAUUGAGUUUGUGCAUGUGUUCACCAAUAUACUCCUGUCCAUCUGAUAUUUACCCUUGAUAAUUUUGUUAAACAUGGAAUAACAGCAGUCACCAUAUCAAAAUGAAUUAGUUACGGGCCACCAACGUUCUAAAAUUAAGCACAAAAAGAAUAAUGUAUGGCCAUCUAAGAAACUAAAUACCGGUGCAACUAAAAGUCACCCAAAUAGCACACAUUACAAUGCAUUGCACAAGUUAACCUUGAUUAAAUUCUUCAAAAGAAUAAUGUAUGUUCAUCUAAUAUUUGAUCCUGAAUAUAUGAUAGUGACUGACUUAAUGUGUUGGUAAAUUGCAAAUAUGGGUUCAGCAAAAUUCGACAAAAAGUACCUUGGUCUGGAGAAGAUCAAUGUAUGUUACGCAAACUUCAUCUCCCUUGAUAAUUGGUUUUGUGCAACGAACAACAACUCUGGGACCAUAUUUGCAGAGUGCUAGGAAAUAAUUAGUGAGAAAAAGUUUAGAAUGAUGCAUUCAUAUAUUGCAACAUAGUCAAAAAUAAUGAAAUACCUUUGGUAGAAUUUGCUUCCUCAUACUGCCAAGUAUGCCACUGGAACCAAUAACAAACGCAAUGAUUCAAUGUACAAUAAUAAAGUAAUAGCUCAAGUAAAGAAAAUAAGUGCUUUCCUAGAAGCUAGAAACCAUGCAGCCAAACUAUUCAAUUUUCAUAUAAUUAGUAUCUUUGCAAAUACUUGGAUCUAACGAACAAAAAUAACAGAAUUAGAUCUUACUCAAAAGAUACUUUCAUGAUACUUUAUUUUAUCUGGCUUUAUGAAUAUAUUACAACAGACUGAUGGCUAAAGGUGUGUAAGGGAUCCAUGUCCAAAAGGACACUUACAGUGAUGAGUGACCUGAGUAUAAGCAUUCGAUUAUAUUCUCUUAGUAUAUGAUGCAAGCAAAAGUUCAUCAGGUACUAAACAAAAUGGUAAUCAGUUUCCUUUACCACAUCAGCUGCAACUCCUUUGCUAGCAGGGACUGCCCAUGAUUUUGAUUUGUGUGAAAUACAGUCUUCAUUCUUUGGAGCCAAUACAAACCGGUACGAAGCAUUGGGAAAGCAGCUAUGGUUGAACCAUGAGAAACUUGGGCCAUACACAGAAAUUCCCAUUGCCAUCCCUUCACUAAGCUGUACCUCAACACUAUUUGUAAUCACUGCCCAUAAUGCCAUCCUCUCAACUUUAAGCCCAUCGGAGAAGCUAACAUAAGUCUCUGCCCUUGAUUUUCUAGCAGAUGACAUCAAUAAGCUCCCCUCCAAUAUCCUCUCAGCAAUCUGUUCCCCUUCCUCCAGAGCUUCUUCAAUUCCACUUGCUGAAAGUCCACCAAUUCUACUGAAGCGGUUGAUUUGAUCAGAUGAAACAAGACCGUGCAUCUCAAGCGCAUAAAGAAGGCGGAGUGCAGCACGCAAAUCACUUGUUCCUUCAGUAACAUAGUUAGGGGAGGCUCUCUUGAGGUGCUCCACAAAGAAGCAACAUUCACCAGAAGAAUAAUGCACCAGUGAAUCUGAGCUUAAGCACUCUGAGCAGCAGUAUCGAACAGAGCAGCAUGUAGUGCAAGACAUGACACAGGGAGAUUGUGGCGGUAAUUCGCUGAAGCAUGAUGAGCAAUGGGAGUGGAGGAACACGUCAUGUAGGGCGAUGGCGUAUGGUGCGAUUGCCCCAGUUAGGUCCUCCGACAUGUUUACAGAUUCCCGAGCCCUCAUCUCCAUUGCCAUGCUUCGAAGCUUCCUGACCUGUUACGAGGUUCUGUCUGCAAAUAGCAUAAAAAUGAAAACUUUAAACAAAGAACAGAACUUGGUAUUUUCUUUAUUUCUCUUUUUAUUUCUCCUUUUGAAGUAAGUUGUUUCCACCUGAACAUCAAUCUUGUGCACUCACGCUUAUCAGACUUAAUUCAGGCCCAACAACUUGAGAAGAUAGCCCAAUGCUUAUCAAAAGUGAACUACUUGAUGUCUUGAUCCAAAAGUAAGCUAACUACGCUACCUGAUGCAGUGAUGCUACAACCACCCCAAACACGCGUAAAAUAAAUUCCAACUUUUUUCCUCCAAAAUCCAUAGAUUCAGCGAAAGAGGAACUGAAGCAAACUAGAUCAGGCAAACCACUACAGCAUCUAUAAGCAGCGGUUGUGUACCAAAAACUGAUAAAUGCACAGCUGAUUUUUGUCCCAAUCCACCAAUGGCGUCGCUAACUAACUUAGGUCUAGAAACACCAAACCCUUUCCCUAACUAACUUGGGAGAGGCUCUACUUGCCUUUGAUCGAACGCAGCACCAGCACCGUCCACGGACGAGUCUGCGACGGAGGCGGAUGUCAGGAUGUGUAGAGGAGAGAGGAGAGGGACCAAGGUAGCGGCGGCCGCAACCCCCUUUUCGGCCGCAGACUAGCAGUCUCGUUGGAGAGACAGAGACGAGAGAAGAUGGGCCGCGAGAGAAGCUAGGCCACAGCCCACAUCUAAAUUUCAGAGAAGCUGGGCCACAGCCCGUCUAAUUUCUAUUAUUUGUACGGCCCAUCUAGUCCUGGUCAUGAAUAAACUAGGCCCGACGAGCCCGUCCAUGAUCUGGGCUGGAUGUGAUCCUCGCAGCCACAACACUAACAAUAUAUCUAAAUUCAAAAACACAAAUGUGCAGCAAAUUCAAAUCAAAAUUUGAUAUAUAAACACAUAUAUUACUUUAGAAUGUUGACAUUAAUUUGGCAGGGGCCGCGCGAACGCGUACCCCCUCUUCCACAAAUUAUGACGUCCACUCUCCCGUUUAGGAAGAUGGUAAGCCAAUGCUCCUCCCAAGUGCAAUGGAGGCCAUUGAUUUAGGCCAUAGCUCUUCUUGAUCGGCUAUCGACCCCGUCCAGGUAAGUGAGUUUGAAGGUGCCCCUUGGUAUUGCUUUAUUGCUCCCCAGCAUCUUCUCCCGGUUUCGUUAGCCGAUGCGGUACUAUUGCGUCCGCUAAACCGGUGGUCUGCGCCUUGUACUAAUUGCGCGGUCAGGACUCAUGGUGUUCGUAUUGGACAAGGCCUAUAUCUGCAACUCUGUCAAGGCCCAAGCUAUCCCGGCCCGGACGAGCAGCACAAGGGGCCGUUCUGUCCGGCCCAGGUAGAAAUUUGUGAGUGAACCUAGCCAACCCACACGGCCGCAUUUUUUUUUAUGUGCUUUUAGUCUCUUUAUAAACAAGUUUCCAGCAACAAAGACGUGCAAUCUCAACCUACAGAAACCAACGGUACAGCACAGGAAAAUUCAGCUAACUUCCAGAUUCAGGGGCUUCCAACAAAACUUCAAAUCAACCGUCGCUGGUCAUUGUGAAAGCAAUGAGAACGCAGGACAAGGUGAAGAUGAUCGUCCCUGCGGCGAAGGCCAGGAUAGCCCUCUGGGAGAAACCCUGCUUUUCCUGGCCAGCCAGCUCGACGUCUUUUAGCAGGCCCCUGCUUGUCCGAGUCCUUGGCGGCAUGGACCAGCCUGCUCUGGACCUCAUCAAGCUUGGCCAGACAUCUGGCUCGGCUGGCAUCUCAGACGGACCAGAUGAAGCCCGUCAUCCUCCACAGCAGGACGCCUACGUAGAUCGCCACGAUGCAGUCCACGCUGUAGUGGUGUCGCUCACGUAUCUCCCUCUGCGCGCUGUGCAGGACGAGGAGCCAUAUCGCGACGGAGAUCCAGCCCCCAUAUGCUUCCUGUGAGCGUGAAACAGAUGGAAAUGGAGUUGGCUUGACUUGAAAUUUAGAAGUGGUUAAUAUGAUAUGUGAGGAAAGGUAGUAGACAGAUCAGAAUGAAUUGGUGGCCUUUGAAAGGUAGUUUGGUUUCUAAUACAAGAGGACAUAUGGAAAGCGUAGCACAUACCGUCCAUGCCAUUGCAGUAAGAACAGCAACAAGCAUGUGUCCACUGUACAUAAGGUCAUUGCAACCACCACUAGCUUUCUUCAACAGAUGGUACCAUGAUGGACCUUCUCCAGGAAUCGGUCUCAAAAUAUCUACCAGGAAGCUCAUCCGUCCCCAGUCAGGCCUAUAUUCAUCUGGAUAAGCUUGAACAGCAGCUGUAAAAGUAUAUAAGAAUACUUUAGUCUCCACCACCGUACAAAACUGAAUAACUGAUAUACCUGUUAGGUGAUAUGACAAAUGAACUAACCAUAUGCCAUGUCAUGAGUUAUGACUCUACGAAUAGCAUUUGAAUCAGAAGCAUAUGGAACAUAAUAUUUUUGUGCCCAAGGAUGAGGAUGCUGAGGUAUUUGAUAACGAGCUGCAGCACACCAUGGUCUUGCAGAUGGAAGAAUAGUAGCAAUGAAUGUUAUUGUCCAAAGAAAACGACCAAUUGCCAUAGUGAACAUAUAUCUUGUGGCUAUACCAAGACCAGGAGCUUUGAUGCAGUCAAACAGAACUGAGAACCCCAGCAUGAUAAACAACAUCAAAUAAUGGUGAAGAGUGAUAACAUGAGCUGAGUAGAUUGACAAUGCUUUGAGGGAGCUUCUCGUUCAGUGAUAGAAGCAGCCAUUGACCAGUGUCAGGAAGCGGUGCAGCAGAUCUGUUAAAACCAGCAGACUUUAGUUUACAAGAAUUUGUGUAGAUUUAGAAUUCAAGUAUGUAUAUGUGGACCAGGAGUGAGUGCACACAACUAAACUACAUAGAGAAGGUCGAAGUUGAAAAAGGCAGUAUUGCUACUGUCUCCUUAUCAGUGGGAAGCCAAGCUCUGUCCUCUUGGGGUCCUCUUGAGUGGAGCUCUUAUCUGACUAGAAAGUCAUUCAAAACUUUAUCGAAGAACCAGCGUUUAUCGAAGAAGCCAGUUUAUAACCCCUAAACAAAAUAGGAAGAGGAGUACUUCACUAUACAGAGGCUGGGUUGUGUUCACAAAGUAUCAUAAAUGCAAUAAUAAAUUACAAUUAGAUGUAAACCAUGGCCAAAUAAACUAGUAAAUGUGAGAAUCCCAUCAAAACAGAGUUGUCUGAAUUUAUUACAUGUAUUAUUGCUAGCAUAGGACUAAACUGUGUUGGGUUAGAUUUUGAGAGCAAUGCAUAUGCCUAAGGAAUCUACUAAGCCCCAACCUCAAGUGAUGAUUAUGCCUUCCUUACCCACUAAACUUCUUGAUGCUCCUAGUAUAUCCCAAAGAUAAUUGAUGCUUUACUUGGACUUUAAUCAUUUUAGAGUGACAAUUGCCGUUAAAUCAGAACAGGAUCAAGCAGUCAGUUAUCACACACUCACAAUAUCAGCAGACUUAAUCUAGCUAGUCAAUAGCAACAAUGAAUCAACAACGUUCCAUUUAAACAAUUGCACAGACGCCUGUCACCACGAAUGCUACUUUCUGCUGCAAUCAGCCUAUUGAUGUGUAAUCCUAGACAAUAUUUUGAGCACGUUAUCUUCUAUACCAAUACUUUGAGCAGUUUAAAUCUCAGCCUCGCAGCUUCAACUAUUUCGCACACUCACUAACAAAACCCCCUAAAGCUCGCCAAUACAAGCAAAACUCUGCAAGAUCACACCAUAUUUCCACGAAUAACUCUAAACCCGUAUGUUUCAACACGACCUACCAAAACAAAGUUUGCAGCUCAAAAGCUAAAAUCUCUCCGAAAUCCAGCGAGCCUUGGCCCCCAAAGCACCUCAAUAGGUGAGGAAAACGAUGACACGCCGGCUGCGCCCCGGUUCCCCAGAAAGACAAGAAGCACCGACCUGUGCCACUGGAGCCCCAUUACGGCGGAGACGAAGCGGACGGAGAUGGCUUCGCAGAGGAAGGCGGCGAGCAUGAAGGCGAUGGAUCCCAGGAAGGGCAGCGCGGCGCGCAGCUCGGCGGACAAGUGGCGAUAGAACGGGGCGCGCGCGGCCGCCGCCAGCGCCAGCGCCGCCCAGAGCGCAGGCUGCAGCCGGUCGUGCCACGCCGGCGAGAGGUCCACGCCCACGUACGCCAGCACCGCGAUGCCCAGCCCGCCGAAGUCGAGGAGCCGCCGGGUCGAGGCCUGCGGCGGCUUCGGCCUCGGUGCCCUCGCCUUCGCCAUGGCCGGAUCGCCCGCGAGGGUCUUCGAGAGGUCACUUGGUCUGGUCAUGGACUGGUGUCUAGGCACGCGAGUGGGUCUGAUUUAUCCUCCCAAAUUAUGUACGUAGAUUCUAAUUCAUUUUAUUAAUUUUUUGAAAAUAAACCAAAAUAUAUAUAAAAUAUAUAUAGGGCCUGGACUUAUAAGCCAGCUGAAAAGUUGAAACGACUAAUUUACUAUGAGAGAAAAGUACUGUUCAGUAGCUGAUAAGCUGAAGCGAACAGGGCUAUAACUUCAUCCCUGUUAGUGACCGGACACCGGAGCGGGGGACGCUCAAAGCUAGGAGCACCGACCUCCGAGUGCUAUGUUGGGCUUGGGUGGGCUCGGGCCCGAGCCUACACAACCAAAAACUAGAUUUUACGGGUUCGAUUGGUUUGUUGGCAAAAUUUUAGCAUGCCAACUCACAUUGUGACAAUUAUUUAAGCACCAUAGAUCUCGUCAAAAUCUAUGAUUAUCGUAUAAAGUUUAUCUUCAUCUAAGUUUACAUAAAAAAAUUAUAAUUUUUUAAUAUAUGUGCUACUUAGAGAAGGAAAAUUCCGCAGAUUUAAUUAGCGGUAGGGUGGGUCCAAGUUAAAUUCCACCAUUUCAAUUGGCUAUAUCAAUAUAGAUUUGCAAUUUAUAUUUUUGCAAAACACUAAAAUAAAAAUAUAAAAAUAAAAAAAUCGAUAGGCGGCUCCUGCACUUGACAUCAGCUGCUUUUGAGCUCCUGCCGGUGCUUUAGGCCUACCACUGGAGAGGAUAUGGGCAAACCUACGUUUAUUCACACUCAAAUCCAAAAAAUUAUUAUCCACUUCUUACCCUCCCCAAUCCUACCUAUAUCUAAUAGAUAAUUAACUUUAUGCAAUACCCUCCCGAUACUCUACCCUCUCCUUUUUAUCCUUUUAAAUGGGUAUAUAAUUUCUACCAUAUCCUUCCCAUCUUAAGUGAGCGUAGAUUUGGAAAAAGGAUACGGAUGCCCAGUGGCAGGCCUACCGUGCUUUGGGCGGUAGGCCUCGUCCGUCGUCGUCGUCGGUCGGCCGGUGGGCCUCGCCGCGCGUUCGUUGGUGGUCCGGGCUCCUCCUGCUGUGUUGUCAGGCCCAACCCCAACUGCCGUUUCUGUUGGUGGGCUGGCCCAUCAAGAGCCCAACUCCGUAGCCAUCAGCAUCGCUGCUGCUUGUGCUUCUCCGGUUCUCCCCAGGCUCCGGCCGUUUCCAGACUUGCAGCCGCGCCUGCGCCGUCUCUCUCGGCCUCACUCCCAUAAACCCCCAAAACCUCUCCCGGCGGCGCCCCCAGCCCGCCGCCCCCAAUGGCGGUGGAGAAAUCCGGCGGCGCUGCCGCCUCCUCCUCCUCCUCCACCGCCGCCAUGGACCGCUUCCAGAAGAUCGUCCUCAGCUGGGACUACCUCCGCCUCGUCGCCGAAUCCAAGGUACACGCAUCGACCCCGCCCACGCCCACAUCCACCCGCCCGCCGAACCACCCGUAACGACGAGCUUAUCAAAAACCCUAACCUUCUCUUGCUUUGGGGCAGGGAGGCAAGCAGGCGAAGGGGCUGCAGCGCGUGAAGGACACGUACAAGUCGGUGGCCGACUACCUCGGCGUCUUCGAGCCGCUGCUCUUCGAGGAGGUCAAGGCGCAGAUCGUCCGGGGGCGCAGCGACGAGGAGGAAGAAGGUAAGGGCGCGGGCGCCUGGGCUGCGCUGCGCUUCUCUCUCGCCGCCGCCCGUUGUUUGCUCUGAUUUCGCUGGUGGGUUUGUUAAUUUGGAUUCUUAAUUCGUGGCUUUGCCUCGUGUGGGUGUAUGCAGAUGCUGGGCUCGACUGGCAGAGGGUGGCGGUGGGCUUGUGCGCGGAAUCCGAGGGGUUCCAUAAGUUCUCCAUGGCGGUGGAGAACGAUUUUCGGGAGAAUGUGGGGGAGAAUGACCUAGUGCUGCUCUCCAAGGAGAAAGUAAGUGCUGUGCAAGUAAAUUCGGCAGUUUAGCUGGUCCUUUUAUGCAAGCAUCAAGGUACUAACUACUGACAAUUUGAUGGGAGGAAAUGUCUCGUAAGUCAAACUAUUUUGUUAUAUAAAGUCAAAACUAUUGUUUGGUAGGUGGCUAUGUGCAUAAUAGUUGAAAAAUCGUAAACCAGGCAUUCUCUAGAUUUGUGUUCCUUAGGGGCAGUAUUACCUUUAGGUACUUAGUUCUUACCUUUUGGGCAUUUUUUUCUAGGAACAGAGCAAAAUGUGCCAUAAGUUAUGUGCAGUGAUUACUCAUAUGAUGAACUGGUGAAUUGCCAAGUACAUGUAUUAUACUCAUGAUGAACUGGUUGUGCCUGCACUUUUGCAGUUUGAGGAGGGAGUGACCCCUACUGCGUACGCCUUUGCACUGGUGGAACAGCGCGGUGGUAGUGCAACUAUUUCUCUUAGAGCUUUUCUGGCAGGCGAAAUUCAAAAUCUGAAUGUUUCCAAGCCUGUGAACGCUCCAAGGCUGCAGCGUUUUGCUUCCAUUUUGGCAGCUGAGAGCAGCACCCUGUGGAUAUUGAAGGUGUGUCAAAAUUGUUCUGAGACAAGCUCCUGAGUUUUCAUGCCAGCAUUGUUUAUUGACAGCAUGUACUACUUGAUUUGCCAUUUUCUGGUAAAAAUUUUCAGGUCUGCAGCUUGUCAACUAUAAUGCGGGAGUUCACAGCUAUGCAUUCUGUAGCUUCUCUUCCUUUUAAGGACUCGAUUCUUUCAGCUGCUGAGAAGCAUAAGGAUGGUGAUGAUCAAAGUCGUGCGUGGAAUGUCCCUCAGCCACUUAUGGAUCACCUCAAAGCAAAUCUUAAUGAUUCACAGCUAGAGGCAGUCAAUGUGAGCAUCCUUUGUGAUUUUUGGUAUUGUUCAUAUAUCUAUUGUAUCUAAUAUCUGUUUUAAAGGCUGCGGCUCUGAUAUAUUACUGUACUGUCUCUAGGCAGGUCUUUCGCGCAGAUCAUUUGUUCUUAUUCAGGUUUGUUAUGUUUUCACUACUACCAUUGAAUUUGCAUUGUUAUUGUUUACCUACCUUGGUUAUGAAAGUACUGUAAUUAUCUUAGCAGUCUUUAGAUAUUUGUUUUUUGUUUAGAAGGCUAUGCAGAUCCAACACAUUACACUACUUAGUUUUUGUCGUAGGACACAUUAAGGAGUUAAGAGUAACCUGCAAUUUACUGAUUUAUGUACUUGUAACUGUUGAUUUGCAGGGUCCUCCAGGAACUGGAAAGACUCAAACUAUCCUUGGACUCCUCAGUGCUGUUCUCCAUUCUGCUCCUGCAAGAAUGAAGACAAAGUAACAAAAUACUUGUUUAUUCCUUUUUCAGUGUAUGGAAUAGUAAUUCUAUUUUUGAGGAUAGAUAAAUCAUCAUGUUUAAAAAAUGAGAGGAGAUAGAACUGAAAUAUGAAGUUUGACUGAAUUUUUCGAAAGCAUAUCCACCCUUUUUUUUUUCCCCCUCUGCACAUUCUUCAUUCAUAGCUAAACUUGGCACAUGCAUCUCGUAUUCUUUUUGAUCCUGUAAUGCAGAGGAGGAUUUGAUGUUCAAAGGCAUGGACCAGAGCUGGACAUUGAUGGCAAGUAUGUUGAAAAUUGCAGAUUUCCUAGUUAAUUUCUAUCAUAUUUAUUUCGACUUUUGGCAUCGAAAUUGGGAGCAUAAAAAGCUGAGUAAGAAUGUCUAACAGCCUCAAUAUUAUUAGUUUUCCUUGCAGUUUUGAAAUGCUCCAUCCUUAACUUAUUUUUCUUAUAGUUCUGCAUGGUUGUUUAAGUCACUAGAAAUUCCUUAGUUUUUGACAUUUUUCUUAUUUUUUGGAUAUCUUAAAUCCACUAAAUGGAACUAGGCCUUGUUGGAAGGAUAUGACUAUUGUUAUUUACACAUGACACCAUCUUCUGUAACCAUCUUUAAUAUCUAACUGGUGCUAUAUGGAAACUGAUAAGAAUAUGAUUUUUCAGUAUAAUACUGGUUCCAUUUUUACAUGCACAGUACUACUGCAAUUUUUUCUUGGUGCUAAUAUUGUGAAUUUCACAUGACAGGUAUGCACACUGGGUAAAAGCAUCUCCUUGGUUACUUGGUGCAAACCCUAGAGAUUUGAUUAUGCCUGUCGAUGGUGAUGAUGGUUUUUACCCCACUGGAAAUGAACUGGUACUCUUCUGUUCUGUGUACUUGCUAAAAUUGGUCCUGGUGCCUUGAUUAUUUUACCCCUUACAAGGCAAAAAAAAAAUUCUUUAUAGAAACCUGAAGUUGUAAGUUCCAGUCGCAAGUAUCGGGCCCAUGUGUUGGUCUGUGCUCCAUCCAACUCAGCACUCGAUGAGAUUGUGUUACGUGUUCUUAACACAGGUAAAUGUUUCGGUGCUAAGUUAUCCAAUACAUAUACUAUGCUCCCAAAACCUUUUUCACUUUUUGCAUCUUAUGCAUUUUGUCACUAAGUGGACUAUACCAUUAGCAUGCAUUAUUUUUUUGCUCACAAAUCAUUAGGAUGCAUCAUGAGCAAAUUAAGAAAUGAAAUAAUGCUUCGUUUUUUAGGAAUUCGAGAUGAAAAUAACAACACUUACAACCCUAAAAUUGUGCGCAUUGGAGUGAAGGCACAUCAUUCUGUUAAAGCAGUUUCUAUGGAUUACCUGGUACGUGAUUUAAGCUGCAAAGCAUUUUCUGUCUAACUUAACUUCUAGCAACUACAAUGAGUCCAUGCCUUUGCAGAUACAACAAAAACUUUCUGGUGUAGAUCGCACAUUAGAUGGUGGGAGACGAGGGGCUGGCGAAUAUGAUCGGAUUAGAGCUUCAAUACUGGACGAAGCGGCCAUUGUACGUCAUCUGCUAUUGUAGUAGUAGAGUUUAUCUAUUGUAAUUUGUUCUCAUUGUGAAGCAAAAUUUGUAGGUAUUUUCUACUCUGAGUUUCAGUGGAUCAUCAAUUUUCAGCAGGAUGAGCCGUGCUUUUGAUGUUGUUAUAAUUGAUGAAGCUGCACAAGCAGUGAGGAUAUCUUUUAAACGUUGCUUUUAUUAUGGAGCAUUUACAUUAUUAACUGGGAUAUUGGCAUAUCCUCUAAGCCUCUAUUUUAAGUAAUAUUUCUGAACUUUACCUUAUAUUCUUGUUUUUCAGGUGGAACCUGCAACUCUUAUACCCUUGGUCCAUGGGUGCAGACAAAUUUUUCUUGUAUGUUGUCCACUUUCGCAUUUGUUUCUACACAUUUUUUUCUUUUCUUUAAGCAUUUCGCUCCCCCUUAUGCAAUAUGUAUAUUAUUCAUUGGUACAGUACCUUAUUAUACGAUAGAAGUCAGGCACCGCACAUGAUAUUUUGAAUAUAUCCUCUUCUCAGGGUUGUAGUACAUAUAGGAACAUUUCUCUCUCUGGGCUUAUGUCCACAUCAUGCUUUCAUUUCUUGGUGUGCGUGUGUCCAGUCUCACCAUUUUGCUCAAUUUCUAUCACUCAAAAAGUGUUAUAUUAGUAUCUUGGCUCAUGAGUGCACUGACUAUAGCUUUUGUUAGUGAUUCACUAUAGCAUUCACUGUCUCUCCUAAUAUCCUAAUCAGGUUGGUGACCCAGUUCAGCUGCCCGCAACAGUCAUUUCAUCAACUGCUCAGAAAUUGGGGUAAGAUGAUCCUUAUUUUCUUUAUACUGUUCCAAAUUGUUCAGGUGCUGUAAUUGCUAAGGUGAUGCUCGUUUUAUCUGUUAGAUAUGGAACAAGCUUGUUCAAAAGAUUUCAAGGUGCUGGUUUUCCAGUGCAAAUGCUUAAAAUUCAGUAUCGCAUGCAUCCAGAGGUAAAUCUCCCAUCCUCAGCAGCUCAAUCUUUCUUAAGCCGGAAACUGGAAUGGUUUUUGUAAUUCAUUAUUCACUCAAACAGAUUAGUAUCUUCCCUUCAAAAGAAUUUUAUGAAGGGGUACUACAAGAUGGAGAGGGUCUCAGCAAGAAACGCCCAUGGCAUUCCUACACCUGCUUCGGACCAUUUUGUUUCUUUGAUGUUGAUGGUGUUGAAUCCCAGCCACCUGGAAGUGGUUCUUGGGUGAAUCAGGAUGAAGUGGAAUUUAUAACUCUCCUAUAUCAUCAACUGGCAAUGCGCUAUCCAGAACUCAAAUCUAGUUCUGAAGUGGCUGUGAUAUCACCGUACAGGCAGCAGAUGAAAUUAUUGAGGGACAAUUUUCGGUUGACCUUUGGGGAUCAAUCAAAGGAAGUGAUAGAUGUAAACACUGUUGAUGGAUUCCAGGUAACAAACUCAUAUGUAUUUCAUGAAUGGAAUUUCUUUACUUGUCGGCUCUGUGCCUCAUAUAUUCUUGCAAGUACCAGUGAUGUUUCUUCUCAUCCACUACUGUAGUAAUAUAAUUGAGAAUAUAUUUAAUUAUACAAGUCACUAAUACAGCUGUAUCUCACUGGUUGUAUUUAGGGCCGUGAAAGAGAGGUAGUCAUUUUUACAUGCGUAAGGUGCAACAAGGAGCAAAAAAUUGGGUUUGUUUCUGAUUUUCGGCGAAUGAAUGUUGCCAUCACAAGAGCUAGGUCUGCUGUACUGGUAACUGCCUCUUCUCCAAGCUUUAAACUUUUUUUCUUUAAUAUUUUGUUUUGCACUAUCUGCAGACUGCAGUAACAUUGGUACCAUCUUAUGCAUGAUACUCAUGGCAAGUCUGCACUCAAGGUCUCAAUUCAGAGAUAUUAGCAGGUUAUAAAUGUAAUAAUUAAGGAGCUAGGAGGUUAAAAAUUUAAUUAUUAAAGGUUACAGUUUAAUAAUUAAGGAGCUAUGUGGCCUAACAAGAUAUAUACAGAAUGGUCCAGAUUCUCUUGCAUGCAUCCAUACAUGUAUAAGCAGCUUGUUCAAGGAUGCUGUUUAAUUGUUCAUGGUUGCAUCCAUCUUCAAGAUUUAGCUGACAUUUAGAAACCCACUUUCUUUGCUCAUGUUUUGUUAUACACUUACACUUGGGUCGUUUACUUGUAAUUCCAAAUAUUAAUCUGCAUACCACAGGUUGUAGGUUCCGCUUCAACCCUGCAGAAAGAUGAGCACUGGAACAAUCUUGUCGAGAGUGCCAAAGAGCGAAACCGCUACUUCAAGGUGCGAUUGCGAUGGGCUACUCUUGUUUCUCAGCUUGAAAGAGCAAAAACAUCUGGAUGAAUCUAAAUUUUGCAUAUCUUGCAGGUUCCCAAGCCAUUCGGUGCAUUCUUUGCCGAGGAUAACCUGGAGACCAUGGCGGUGAAACCACAGAAGGAUCCUCGUCCUCCUGAGCAGAAUACUGAAGUGAUGGAAGGAAUGAAUGAAGCAGCGAUGGGGCGGGAGUUUGAUGCUGCCGACCAAGCAGAUGCAGGGGAUGACGACGAUGCUGAUAUGGAUGCUGAUGAUGGAGGUGGUGAUGACUGAUUGUAGGAUGCCAUAGCGGUGUGGCCUGGGAUAGAACAAUUGUGUUAGAGAACUGGUACAUAUAAAGGAUAUUAGGGUUUUCUUGGGUGGAUAUGGAUGUUGACGAGGCUUGAAAACAGAAAUUUGGAGCAGCUAUUCUUUUUGUCUUAAUCCAAUUUUGGGAGGAAGAGAUGUCCGGAUGCUUAAGUUACACUACGAACAUUACUCGUUUAUGAGACUGUAGAAGUGUCAGAUACAUCUUUCUUGCGUACGUUUUCCACGUCGCAUUUGUGCACCUCAGAAAUCAGUUUGCCAUGCCUUAGAGAAAUAAUACAAGUUUAUUUUGAGGAAGCAGAAUGGCAGGCGUCACGUGCCGCUGCACCUUCACAUGUAACCGUGAGUCGUGACCUUAAAAGGGAGUCAAGAGUGUCCAUCAGCCAAACAACAGAAUUCAAGCACACGGACAACAAGUGGCGGCGCUCUCGUGAGUGAUGAUGUUUUUGAGCAUGAGGUGAAGAGUGUUUUGUGGGAUUGGGAGGCACCGGAAUUCCUGGCUGAAGAAUGCGGUACUGAGCCACUGUCCAUUAACCCAUGCUAACCUGCAGUUCCAUUGGAUGAGACGAUAGACAGGUGCCAGUACUCCAAAAGACUUCUCUAGGCUGUGACACCAAAUCACAACUCAAGAGACGUUGGCUUCCCCUUCCUUACGCCGCUGCUCCAUGUAGCAUUGGAAUUGAUUGUUCUUUUAGAUGGACAGGCAUGAUGGGUCUUCACCUUCAGCUUCUUUACGCCAAGUCGAUACCCAAAUGGGAGGACCCCCUCCGAUAGUCGCACCAUUAGCCGGCGCUCUCCUCCAACGAACCUUUGCGCAUUGGCCUCCAUGCCAUCGAGCAUUUCCAUAUCCUCCUGAUCACCAUUGUUAUGUCCUUCCAGCUCUGUUUCUGUAGCGAACAUGGCUCUAUUAGAUCAUAGUUUCUGAUUUUGGUGAUUGAGUGACAACAUGAUCAUUUAGACUAAUGGUUUGUUUAGAUUACACUUUGAAGGUUUUCUAGAUCCUAAGGAAGCAAACCACAAACAAAAGCCACGCCAAGAAAUGAAGAUUUAUCCAUUGAUGCAAUGCACCGACUCAUUCGGUGAUGGCAAGAAACACCACCGAAUCAGUCGAUGACUAGGGCGCGCAUAAGCUAAUUGGGACCAUCGGAUGAUCCUUUGGGUGCCAGACUGAGGCAUCGGGCCAUCCAAUGGCCACAAUGGAAGUUAGCUGAAGGGAGGCACACCGGAUGAUCCGACGGCCAUUUAUUUGUACCCAUCGAACAAAUAACUGGGGCAAUGAAGAAAAUGAGAGGAGCACCGGAUGAUCCGAUACUAUGCCUAUGCGUUGGUGAAUAUCGGAUGAAGCAUAUUUACUUUGUGUACUUCCAGAGAGGUUUUGGGUGAAAAUUCUUCAGCACCGGAUGAUCCGAUGGAGGCAUCGGAUGAAGCACCGGAUGAAUCGGUGCAGCAAAUCAGUCGAUGGAAUGCGUCGGUGAGGAAUUUUAGGCGCAGGGAUGUCUAUGGCUAGUUGCACCGGAUGUUCCGAUGCCUCUAAAAUGUAACCAUCGGAACAUCCGAUGGUAUAUUUUAACUAGCUAUUGGAGCAACGGCUCUUUAAGGUCUUGGGGCUAUUUAUACCCCUACCACUUGCUUAUUUGGAGUUGCUGAAGUGUCCAGGAGUGCAUUCAAGACCACAAGACUCAUCAAGAACACAUCCAUGCCACCAAAAGUGCAAAAGUGAUUGAUCCAAGGCUUAGCACAUGCUUAGAGAAUGAUUAGUGCUAGAAUAGGCCUAGAGAGAGUUAGUGCAAGGUGCUGCUACCUUGUGAUUGGUUCAAGGAGUGAACCACCAUUGUAAGCUUCGUGUGCCGACGCCUUAUAGUCUUGGUGGCUCGCCGGCAAGUCUUCGACCCUCCAUCUUGGUGUGGAGCGACAACGAUGACCAUAUGACCAUGUGCGGGGGACGAGAAAACCUCUUCCUUCGUGGAGAAGUUCCGUAGUGAAGAUGAUAUCAAGGUGACCGGAAGAGAGGGAUUGGUGAGCCUUACCUUAGUGGCAAGCUUCUCAUUCAGCUUGGUGAGAGCCUUUGUGGUGAGUCCAAAACCUUGACCGGGUGAGACUUGGUGAACGGGAGCAUAUCCUUGGUGGAGCUCCAACGUGGACUAGGGGUGGCAUUUGCCUACUGAUACCAUGGGAUAAAUCGUCGUGCCGAGUUUGCCUCACCUUCCUAACCUACUCAUUUACGUUUCUGCAUUUCAUACUUGCAACUUGAGUGCAUUUACUUACUAGAGUAGUAUCUUGAUAUAGGAUUGGCUCUAAGUUGCAAAACUCUUUGUGGGAGAGAAGUUUCACUAGAUUAACUAUAGUUGCACAUCUAAACAGCAUGAUCCAGCUUAUGUUUCGAAGCAAAUAGUGGAAGCCAUAGGCUGAGGAUUUUAAGUUUGCCUAAUUCACCCCCUCCCCUUCUUAGGCUACGAACAUUGAUUCCUUACAUCUUCCAAUGCAAACACCUUUAUUCCAUACUUGAAUACUACUCAUCUCUCAUUAUGUCUUGGAUGGUGUGUAGAAACUAGAUCUCAUACAACAUAUGAUUUCUUCUCUUUCUUCAUUUAUGCCCCAUCAUCUUUUAUCCUAAGUGGCAGCUCAUUUAAUUCUAUGGACACCAUCCUAGUCAUCGGAUUGGGACUGCCCUUAGAGGGGGUUGUGGUGUCUUCUUUUUAUCAACUGUCCUCUCUCUCAUAUUAAGGCUCCCGGCUCCUCCUCCCAAAGAUGACUCAGGGCUUGUUUGUUUGAGCUGCAGUUUUUGAGCUGUGCUAAAAAGGUGUUGCUGGCUAAAAGCCAACACUAGUUUUUAGAAGAUGUGUUUAGCUUUCUGAAUAAAAAAGCUACAAAAAGCUCAUAAAACUUAGCUUUCCAGCUUUCCAUAUAAACCAAUGUUGCAAAUCGCGGGCUAUAAAAUUUAGCGGAGUGUUCCUGAAAAAGCUAUAAAAGCUAUGACAUUUAGCGGUAUGCAAAAAACUAGCAAGAUUUAAACCUAAACAUUGUUAAUUUCAUGAAUUUCAGUUCAUGUUUCAUAAGUAUAUGGAGGCAUAAGUGUAAACAUAAGCAAAUAAGUCACAACUCACAUGAUAAGUCAUAAAUCAUAACUCGUAGUUCAUAAAUCACAAGAAUAUAAAUGUAGCUUAACCAUAGCGGUGUUAGCGGUGCUAGGUUAUUGAAUUUAGCGGGGCUAUUUCACGCUUUAGCAGAGUUAGCAGCAUUAGCGGUAAUAUUUGCAAUAUCAUCGUGACAUCUGUCUCAAAAAGCUAUAGCGGCCUAUUAGCAGGCUAUUUGCAACAUUGAUAUAAACUCAGCUUUUCUGAACUUCGAGCUUUUCAGAAGCUGCGCAAAAAUUUCGCUGUCAGACGGCUUCUAAGGAAUCUUGCGCACUAUAGCAAAAACGACCCAUAGAAACUGUUGCUAAAAUGAAUUUCAACCGUUCCGAAGAGUCCGAGAAGCAAGAGCUCUCCCAAAUGGGUCGUAAAAGCACAUUUUGGCAUCUUGAACUAUCACAAAAGGUACACAAUGGACAUUAGUUAUUAUGAGAUCGACUGCAAAAGUGACAGCUAGACCACGUCUCUUACUUAUGUCUUCCGUGUUGCAUUAGUGCAUAUCAAAAACUCAUUUGCCAGUGGUUAUAAAAAAUAAAUAAUUGGAGGCAACAGAACGGCAGCAAAUUAAACAUGUGCCCUGCACAUGAGUCUGCGUUAUGGCAGCUGCACGUACGAUCGCACGACUGAUAAAAGGGGGCCAAGGGUGUGUCCUGUCGUCGGAUCGUCUCUCUCUCAACAAGCACAAGGACACAAUAGAACACGAGAACAAGUAUGAGAGACAAAUCUUUAUUUCUUUCUGAAUUGGAUGAUUUACUAUGAAGAUCUUCCUCGUAUAUAUACUUCGAACCUAGCCUAAAGUUUUAGUAAGAACUCACAAACAACCGGAUUAGGAUUAGGACUAGAACUUUCCUUCUAGGAAUCUCAGCUUCCAUAUCCUGAGAUUGAGUCCUGUUGUUUUACAACAUGUCCAUCUGCCAAGCACCAAAAUACGCGCGCGCACACAUAGAAGACAGAGUGCCGAGAAGUCUGCUCUCGAGAGAGAGGGAGAUUGAGGAUGCCCUUUGGGCACGAGGUGGUGAGUGCGUCGUCUGUGUGGGAUUGGGAGGCACUGGAAUUCGAGGUUAUAUAUACAAGGUAGGGAUCUGAUUCUGCCAAUGUUAAUCCGGAGUCCUGUUCGAUGGGCCAGAAGAGGUCCUAAUCCUGCAAAGUUCUCUGGUUCAUGAGGCGGUGAUGUUGGCUUCCCUUUCCUUCGUCGGGGCCGCACUGUAUCGCUAGAGACCUGAGCCAGUCCUCUGCGUUGUCCGGUGCCUGCACAAGCACAGCAGAAUGCUCCGCGUUGUCCUAGCUGAACGGUGGCACGAUGGAGGUGUAGGAACCGUAUCUCACAGGGAGCUGGGCGUGCUGUUCUUAGCAUGGUUUUCCCUAUGCUGCCGGUCACUCAUGUAUGCACAUGUUGUAUGGAACCUAAUAAUCUUUCAUUCCCGUACCAAAAUGUGUCAUCCACUGGGUGUAGGGGCACCAAGUGUUGUCAUUUAAUUUGUCGGUGGUUCCAAUGAUCUUGCUCAAGACCUUGAAGGUGUUGAAAGGGUUCCUCCUCCGGAGGUGAAUGCUCAAGCGCUGGAAACGAUCAACGAAGCUGUCAUAAGGCUAUGGUUUUAUGUCUUUACAAGAGGCUCUGCAAGCACUACUGCUCCAAAGAGUGAAACUUCAAGUUCAAGGUGUGAUUGUGAUUGCUUCCAUGUUGUUUCUCAGCUUGAAACAGCAACAGCAUUUGGAUCAAUAAUCCAAACUACGCGCAUCUUGCUAUUCGUUUUCUCUUAUCCAAUUUUGGGAGGAAGAGACGUUCGGAUGCCCAAGUUACGUUACAGCCACUGUUUAUUUGAGAGCGUAGGAAGUGAUGCACGCUUCUUGUGUACGUUUUCCACGUCGCAUUUGUGCACUUCAUAAACCAAUUUCCCAAUGUCUUGGAGAAAUACAAGUUUAUUUUGAGAAACUAGAAUGGUAGUAGUCAGUAGUCACAGUCCGACUCCACAUGAAACGACGCGUCAUGACUCACGACCUUAAAUGGGAGUCAAGAGUACCCAUCACCCAAGCAACAAAAGAGCGCUAAUGGGAAGUGGUUGCGCUGAGCGAGGAUGUCUGUGUGCAUGAGGUGAAGAGUGUAAAUCGUGGGGCUGGGAGGCACUGGAAUCCCUGGCUAUACAGGAUGGAACCAACCCAUAUGCUAAUCUGGAGUCCAUUUCAACGGAGUGACUGAGAGGUCCCAGUACUCGAGAAGCAUUCUCUAGGCUGUGCCACCUCAUAGUCAUUGCGUUCCCCUUCCAUUUUAAUUGAUUUGUGUCCUGUGUUGUUCGGAGCUUGCACAUGCACUCGGCGAAGUAAUUAAACUCGGCGACGUUAAGCUUUCCCGUAGUGUGGACAACCCUCUACCAGUUGCAGGAUUGGGUGGUGGCACUGGCUAAUGUUGUUUUUCGUUCUUCAAUAGCCACAGUUGUGUAAGCUUCUGCCGUAGAAUACCAUGCUUCAUUUUAUCCCGGAUUAAUUCUUGGUUCCACAAGCUGUGUUCACACAGUUCCAAAUGUCGCUCACAGAGGCUAUUACUUGACCAACCGUACCAAAAUGCUACCAGGUGCUCGAAGAGUUCGUCAUUUGUUUGGGACGGCUGUCGCAUAGUUGGUUUGUCUGUCUCCGAAGUCCAAGCAUAUCACUUGUUGGCCGUACUUGUCAAUUGUCAUCGCAACUCGCAAAUGUGCGUGCUGUUGUUCUGUUUCGAUCCUGUUGCAGGUUGGAUCUAUUAGUGGGUGGUCCUGUCUCCUUCCACAAAGUAUUCUCUCUCCUUUAUAACAGUCUAUAAAAUUACACUAUGAACGUUUAUGUAUUAUGUCCUUUUAAAAACAUUAAAUAAUUUUUAUGGGACCGCAGAAGUGAUAAUAAACCGACGGCAUCUCCUAUGUACGUUUUCCGUGCCACAUUAGUGCCUGUCAUAAAAAAACCAUUUACCAUUGGUUAGAGAGAUGAAAGUUUUGAAGCAGCAGAAUGGCACAUGAGACCACGCUAUGACAGAGGUUGCAUGGCCGAUAGAUCAUCGUGACCAUAAAAGGGUGUGACCUGCUGGCAGUGGCGGAGCCAGCAUUUGCAAGUUGGGUAUUCCCAUUUUCUAUGGAAAAAAAAAUCUAGGAAGCCAUCCACACUAAUUUUCCAAAGUCUUCAAAUAUCUAUAGAAAGAAAAUUAUACACACUAAUUUACUAACUCGCACCAUCGAUUAUGCUGCAAAAUCGGUGCUCACAUAUUGCAUGUUCUUUCGCUCUUUUGCCAGAGUUGAGCUGCGCCCCUGCUGCUGCCUUCCACGAUUGCGUUGUUCAGCUGCUAGCUGCUGCGCCUGGGACAGUUGUGCUGUUCGGCACCCGGUCAUCCCCUUGUGGCGCGGACCUAGCUGCCUGCCACAUCCAGCAUGCGGCCGGUCGGCCAGCCGCCACCUGGUGCUUGCCGCCUCCAGGACUCCAAGCGGAGCCCGCCGGCUUGUGCUCACCGACUCGUUGCGCCCGCCACUCGCCAGGCCGCUAGACCUUUCGUUCGAUUCAGUUUUGGGGUAGGGCAACGACAAGGAGAGGAGUGCAUGUACAUCACUGUGUGCACCGUGCGUUGUGGCGAGAGGCUUAGAGUGCUAGCCUGCGAGGAGAACGACGAGAGGCGGAGAGAAGUGGGAUGUGUGGGCUGUGGACUGUUCUGUGGCAGGCAGGGGAGGGUGAAAAACGCUGGCUGGGUUGGUGUGGCACUUUGGGUCGAUUUAUAACUUAAGAACCAGAUAUUACAGCCCAAUAUAGUAUCUACAUAUGUAUACACUUGAUUUAUACUUGGUCUUUUGCAAAUAAAAAACUCAGUGUUCGUCCCAAGGUUCAGUACCGGUUGCAUUUUGGUCCAGUAUUAAUGUGAGCAUUAGUACCAGGCCUAAUGGCUAGUCCCCAAGGAGCCUCCCGAGUGGAAUUUUCACCCGGUACUAAAAGGAUACCUCCCCUCACGCGCAGCCCCCCUUCUCUCUCACCCCACGCUCACCCCCAUCCCCACACUUAUCCGCUCAUCCUCUCAUUCAGCCUCUCACCCGCGCCUCUCUCUCUUCUUCUCCCUACCAAAUCCCCUCUCUCUCCCCAGUUGAAUCCCCUCCCUCUCUCCCUCACACAGAUCCCAUCGCUGCCCCUCACCUCUCCCCUCGCUCACCCCUCACCUCUUACAUGUGGUGAGGAGCGGUGGCGGGGCAAGGAGCGGCGGAGGCAAGAAGGGAGGGCACGGCGAGGCGGCGAAGCGUCGGCAGGGCAGCGGCGGGGCUAGGAGCGGCGAAGCUUCGGCGGGAGGGCACGACGGCGGAGCGUCGGCAAGCGUGGCGGAGCAAGGAGUGCGUGGAUCU
rnacentral:lncRNA from 1 species